UUUUUUUUUUUUUUUUUUUUUUGAAGGUGCAUAAAUUUUUAAUGUGCAAGGUCUAUCCUUUGCAAAAAAAAAAAAGCUUUCCUUCCAUGCUUUCUACUAGUAUGUUCAAUUUUACACACACACACAUGUAUAUAUGUGUGUAUGUAUAUAUCUAUAUGUAUGUAUGUAUGUGUGUGUAUAUAUAUUUUGUGGAUGUGGGAUUGGACUAGAUCAACCAUAGACUGAAAAACAAACUAAUAUAUCUAAAAUUACUUUUUCACUAACACAAUUAAGUUUAGAUUAACAUACUUUAAGCAAAUGAAAGAGGGCCAUUUCCAUUUUCACCAAUCUUUCCUGCAUCAGCAAUUCAACCACGAUUUAACUCAUCAAUAUCAUUACGUUUUUGCUAGUCACACUCAAAAAGAAGAAGACAAAUGAAAGAGGGCCAUUUCCAUUUUCACCAUUCUUUCCUGAAUCAGCAAUUCAACCACGAUUUAACUCAUCAAUAUCAUUACGUUUUUGCUAGUCACACUCAAAAAGAAGAAGACAAAACUAAUCUUAAUUGGAAAGCCAACAGAGGCACAUGUCACCAAGGGGCUUCUUCUCUGAUAAGCUUAUGUUGGAUUAGUCUGUUACAUGAAAAAUGAUGCAUUUUGUUCUUCAAAAAUACCAAAAUUCAAAAAUGCAAUUCUAAAUCCCAUUUUGUAUAACAACCCCCCCCCCCCAACAAAAGACAAAAAAGCAAAAAAAAAUCCCAAAAUAUACAACUUACACCCUAAGAAUAAAUGGAACAGGCAACUUUUUCUACAAAAUAGCCAUCUAUUGCCAUCAUAUGUUCCUUCCAUUCUAGCUUGGCUUUUCAAAUUGAAAAUAUAAAGUGGUGUCAUCAUAGCAUUUUUAUGCAAAGAAGUGAUCAAAAUUCUUAGAUUUUUAACAUUUUGGGGACAAAUAUGCAUCACUUUCUCUAUGAGAAACCAAAAAUGGACAAUUCGAAAAUGUGAGUGACCAUUCUUCUUGUCCUGGCUUAAUACUACACCAUAUAUGGUUUUCACUUAAUGCCCUCUUUUAGUACACCAUGUAAUACAUACAUGAAUUAAAGAUCUAUUGAGUGCUCAAUUUCUCAUUUCUCACUUUGGAACUUAGACCUUCUAAAUUAGGUAACACAACCUAAGCAUAUACACAAUCUAAAAGCCAUAUAGGCAGCUCAACUAAUUAUAUGUCGUUUACUACGAAAUCAAAGCGUUCCAUACUUUGAAUUAAAAGUUUUAUUAAUUAUGAAUUGGACCUUUCAUGGGUCCAAAAUCAACUUCAAGACUCAAGUGGUAACGUGCUGCAUUCAUUUCCAUAUAGUCUAUAGUCUUCUAUUAUAGGCUGGUAAGAAAAUGUAGAGGCUUGUGUAGCUGUCCAAUGUCCUUUUCAAUUACAGAUGAGAAAUAAUUAUGAGAAAGAAGUUGUGUUAGGUGUUGUCGGUUUAGACACUAUAUACAUGUCAUCGUCAUGCUCAAUUGGAGUUCAUCCCAUGCAAUUCCAAUCUUAUCUUUUAGCCAACAAAUUAGCAUUCCAUCAAUUUUUGCAGUUAAUCUACAUUAGAUCAAUGAUGUACAUCAAUUCGUCCGGGACGAUUUCAGUAAUUUAUUAAUGAAAUUUACUUUUUAUCAAAAAAAUGUCCAUCAGUAAUUAAGAAGCUUAUGAUGAAGAUUCUGCAAAGUUUAGUAUAAACAUUUGUAGGACCAUCAGGGGGUUCACCUUUGAAACAAGAAUUUAGGGAAAUAUAAGUUUGGGAUGAAAAGAAUGCUAAUAAUGAAGUGAGGGUAUUAGCUGAAACAAUUCAAUGCUUAUGAUUGUACUAAGAGCAAAUUACAGUUUUAAUCCUCUAUAUUUUGGGUCUGUUUGGAUGACACAUUUGGUCUAGUCAUUUUUAGUAGGAAAAAUCGUUCAAAACAUCCCUCACAUUUUACAAAAUGACUUUUUGCAUCCCUCACUUUUAAAAGUGUACUUUUACGUACCUUACAAAUUCAUAAUGGUUAAAUUUGGUCUCUAUCUAGAUUUUCGACUAGUUUUUGAUCGAAAUCUACCACGUGCCUUGCUUGUAAUCAUUUUUUAAGGGCAAAAUUGUCAAAUCAAAGUUUACAUAAUCAGAUGCAUAAUCCCUCACAUUUCACAAAAUGAAUUAUUUUGUCCCUCACAUUUCACAAAAUAAAUUUUUUUCAUCCCUCAUAUUUUACAAAAUAAAAUUUUCAUCCCUCAUUGAUCAUGUGUACGAAUAACUUUUUUUAAAAAUUAAUAUAUAUCUAUUUGAUUUCACCUUAACAAUAUGAAUAGCAUGUCAUAUAUCUCUAUUUGAUUUCACCUGCACGUACUGUUCAAGUGAAAUUGAAAUAGAUAUAUACAGGGGUUUAAAAAAAUUCUUACUUUUUUACUCAUGUUCAUUCCUUUUACUUGAAAAUUGAAAACAAAGAAGAUACUUAAUUCUAAACAUUAUUAAGCAUUUAUAUUGAAUUAAAUUUGGACAGAAAAAAUAAACAAAGGAAAAGUAUGACAAAAUGAAGUAAGUGAUUGAAACUUUUAAAUCUUAAAAUAAUCAUAAGGUAAGAAAUUCAACUGUUGGUCUUAAAGGUAGCGAGUAAAAAUUUCAAAUUUAAUUGCAAUUUGUUAGCAUGACUAUAAAAUUCGAAUUAACACUGAUUAAUUAGAUGGUCUUAUUACAUAACUUAAUAAAUGAAUUAUUACCAAAAUAGAAAAGGUUACAAAUAUUAAAUAAAUUUACAUGGUGAAAUCAAAUAUAAAUAUAUAUGGGUUUAAAACAAAAUUAUUAGAUUUAAACCCAUAUAUAUAUAUAUAUACUGAAUAGUAUAUGUACAACUACAAUUAGUCUAUUUAGGUAAAAUCAAAUAGAAAUAUAUUAUAUACUAUUCGUACUGUUCAUGUGAAAUCAAAUAGAUAUAUACAUGAAUUAAAAAAAUUAUUUGUGUACAUGGUCAAUGAGAGAUGAAAAAAUUCAUUUUGUGAAACAUGAGGGAUGAAAAAAUUUAUUUUGUGAAUGUGAGGGACGAAACAAUUCAUUUUGUGAAAUGUAAGGGACUAUAGAUGGAUUAUGUAAAUUUUGAUUUGACAAUUUUACCCCCAAAAAAUAAUCACGUGAUGAAUUCCGACAAAAAAUUAGUCGAAAACCUAGGUAGAGACCAAAUUUGACCGAUAUGAAUUUGUAAGGGACGUAAAAUUACACUUUUAAAAGUGAGAGACGAAAAAAGUCAUUUUACAAAGUGUGAAGGACGUUUUGAACGAUUUUCCCUUUUCAGUAUCCAAUGCUAAUAAAUUGACAUAUUUUACCCAUUAUGUUUCCAAGGGUCCUUCAACACCCAAUUUCAUUGCAAAGAAUUGUUUUUGAAAAUCAUGGGCAUGUAAGCUUGUUAGAACCAGGUUCAUAUUCAAGCAAUGUAUUCCUGGAAAUUGUUUAUCAUAUGCAGAAUUUAUGUGAAACGCAACUAAGUUAAAAAUAGAGGAGAUAUGGUGUUUGGAAAGAAUAGUUUCACCUUAAAGUUAACACUUGAAACAUAAUAUUCUUCAACUUUGUCGUUUAAAUAUAUGCAACUUUGCUCGUGAACAACUAAACUCUUCAUUUAAAAGAACCAUCCUUGAACAUUAAAAAAAAGAAAGAGAUUAUUCACUUGGAUACUGUAUUCAACUAUAAGUAACAUAUUUUAAACUCUUUGAUCUACUACUAUCUCAAUUCUUCGUUUUAUUUUCCAACUAAACUACACAUUAAAAACAUGUUUUUCAUGUUUUAACGUAGUGUUGUGUUGCAUGUGGCUAUUUAAUUAUUGAAAAUGGUUAUUUAAAGAUCACCAUUUACUAUAUAGACACAUUCCUCUGUUUCCCUAUCCUCCUACCCUGCUUAAAUUUCUGUAUCUUCUUGAUCCGUGCUCUUUCCUUCCUUUACCACCUCCUCUACAAACCCCAGAUGCUUAAUGUCUCUUGAACCAUUGCCCUCCUAGGUUUGCCAGGCAUACAAGCUCUCUCCAAGAUCGAUCCAGUACACUAACCCAAUUUCUAAUUUUUGCAGACUUUGCUCUCCCUCCUUACCUUUUUGGCAGGGGUUUAUUGACAUGGCGCUGGGCAACGGAUUGUUGGGGAUAAGGGAUGUAUGGGAAGAGGGCAAAAGGACUUUUUCUGCACUAGGUUUCCAUCUAUAACAAAUUCAUGUAUAUUCUCCUACUACCUUGCAUUUAUUUGCUUUCCCCAUUUAACACUUCGGACACCACUUAUUUAUCUAGUGUUGCAAGGCAAUUGAUAUGCAAUUUACCAAAAAAGAAUAAACAAAUGAAGUAAAAGUCAGGGGAGGUGAAAGAAGGUAAAUGAAAAGAAGUCCAAAAUUGUUGGGGAUGCUUUUCCCUGAAAUGUCUUAGAUGCGGUCAAGUUCUCAUAAAACGUUAGUAAAGAGCAUAAACGAGAUAUUACUUUAGUCCACAACUUAAAGAAGUUUGUCUGCAAUUUGCCUAGCAUGUAGUCACAUUACACAGUAAAAUUGAACACAUGCAAGCCUGAUAGGAAACAACAUCUACGCAGCAACCAAUGUCAGCACAUGCACAGUAACUGUUCUUCACCUUCUAGGACCACAACACUAAAUUAGUCCUCAAUCCAGUUAUCAGGUUAAAGACCCUAAAAGAAAGGUCUCAUAAGCACUAAAUAACAACAAUUAGUUAGGUACAAAGAGAAUGAUGCAGUGACUUCAGAUAUCACGAUACUCCAAUUAGGAAAACCAGGGGGUUACAAGAUAUAACGUGACAGAGGAUAAAGAUGGCAGCUCCAAUAUCAGAUUCUAUCUAAAUAGAGUUCUUAAUUAGUCAUUCCACUUCAUUCAGUUAAAGAAUAACUCUUCAACAAUCUUCAACAAUUAUCAUGCCUUGUGCCACAACUAAAUGACAAGUCCUGAUUGUAAAUGUCAAAGCUAAAUUUAGGGAGAAGAUUCUACUUUGGACCAGAGGUUUGUUUUCAGACAAAAUAUUCUCUUUGCAUCUUUCAGUCAAGCCACUUAAGUAACUGUACCAAUUUAUGCAACUCAAUCCCUAGCAGAAUAAAUUUGCUUAUGAAUGUCACAGAAGUUGCAGUUCCUAAAACUCCACAAAACUCUCCAAUGAUGUAACUUAUCAAGAAGUUGCUCCAUUUACGGUCCAAAUAAUAUGCAAUAAGGACAGAAUCUGCAAACAGCGAACGAGUAACAUGCCUUUCCUUAUAAGGUGACUAGCCACUAAGACAUUGUAAGUCUUACAUGUACAAGUACAUGCAUGUUCAAAUUGUGUAUCUAUAGGUAAAGAGAGAGAUUCCAGACUCAGACUAGUUUUAUUCUUAAUAUGCGCUCUGUUCCUAGCUGGAGGAUCUUAAUGGAACUCAAUGCUAUAGUGGGACAGGUGAAUCAACAAUUUGAAUCUAAAAUCUCUUCACUUGUACAGGAGCGCCUUGCCUCUUUCCAGAUUCAAGCAUUGCAUCCAAAACAGCAACAUCCCUGACACCUUCCACAAAUGACAAGCGGCGUUCCACUUCAUAGCUACUAUCCUUCUGCAACAAUCAAAAGGAUUGUACAUUACACAUGAAUUAUACCGUUCACUAAUUUACAUUAAAAUACACAUAAAUCUUGCUUGUGAGAGAGAGUACAAGCACGACAAAGGGGUAAAUGUCUCCUAAAUAUUGAUUAUAACUCCACCAAGAAUUAGACAUAAGUGUUUUAUCCUCCACAAAUUGAAUCAAAGGUGCCCAACCAAUAAAAUCUUUAAGAUACCAUAGCUGAGAGAGUAGCUGCCCGCAGUUUAAGUUUGAAUUAUUAAUAACUUCCAAGCAUCAAGUUAAAUCUAAGUAUUAUGAACCUUAAGACAAAAAAUUUUGUAAGUAAAGUGAAUACUUUUGUUCAACGUUGUAGAAAAUUUUCUACUUUCAUGAGCCACUGCAGGUGGUUAUGAAGCAGGCAGGGGAAUAAAAUUAUUGAAGAAGGUUAAGGCACUGGAGAAGUAAGGUUAAAAACUAUUUGUGCACAUUGCUCACAAAUGACUCAAAAAUGUUUUAGAAGUACACUUAAGAAUAAUUAAAAGGGCAGUUUCAGUACACUGUUGUAGUGACCACAUAAAAAUUGAAGAUAGCAGAAGUCAUUCAUCCUAAGAUUUAACAAUAGAGGAGGUGCAGGGUUAACAAUUCACAAACUAGAGGGAGAAAUUAGACUUUGCCAACAGCUAGAGGCAACACAUAACAUGAUAUCCAUUGCACAUUCAAUAAAGCUGUGGCCAAGGAAAAAGCAAGUGCUAAGUGGCUUCCUGCAAUUUAAGUUUGAAAUGUUGAUAAUGGACAAGAAUCAAGUUUUAUCAAAGCAUUAUACUCCAUAGGACAAAAAAGUUUGUUAAGUGCAUAGGUUAAUAUUAUUGUUUAAUGUUGUAGAAACCUUCCUACUCCCAUGAGCUGCAGCAGUUGUUGGUGAAGAGGGCUGGGGGACGGAUCUUGAAGAAGGUUGAGGCACAGGAAAGGUGGUAUUGGUUGAAAACCACUUUACAUGUUCUAGUGAUUGCUCAAAAAUAUUUAAAAACGACACUUGAGAAUAGUUUAUAAGGCAAUAUUUAGAAAACUAUAGCUAUGUCCACAUAAAAUUCAAUAAAAACAGAAGUCAUUCAUCUUAAGUUUGAAAAAAGCAAAGGGGUUGAUGAUGUUUCGCAAACUAGAGGGAGAAAUUAGACUUUUCCAACAAUUAGAGACAAUGACAUAACAUUUUACCCAGAAAAGGAAAAGAUCGUCAAACAACGUUGUCGAGCUAUGUGACACAUUGGGACAAAUAAUUCAAAUGAUACACUACGAUUAAGAACAUAGAAUUACUUCAGCAAAAAAUUUACAUAAUAUCGAGUAAAAGUUUAACUAUUUGAGUUACCUUUAGAGUAGCCUGAGAAAUUUCGGACAGGAAAGCCUUUAGUUCUUCAGUAACCCCACUAAAUGGGUGGAAGAAGCUCUUAUUCUGCCCAUUAGCGAGGUAAAGAGUAACCUGCCACAUUAUCAAGAAACUGAAAUGGCAAAGCUGGGAAAGCUUGCAGUGCUUUUGAAAUUAUACCUAAAGAAAAUAAGAAGCUGACAUCCUAGGUCUUAGGAAUUUUGAUAGUACAAGAUAUCAAGAAGCCAUUGAUUACCAAGUACCCAUGCUUUCCAUCUUGGUUACCCCUCUCAAUUUGAAGUGUUCCAUUUAGACCCACAACUCGCCAGAGUAUCUAAUGAAAAAUGGCAUAACUAUUGCAUUAGAUACAGUAAAAAAAUCAAGGUAUUCUGUAGACAAAGAACUUAUUCAAACAAAAUGAGUGGAAAAUGAGUGAUUUAGAGGCAUAUAUUUACUGCAUGCCUUUGGUGAUCUCGAUGAUACCACCAGCACGAAAACUCCAGUGCAGCCAUUCUCCAGUUGACUAAAGAGACAAGAAUUCCCAAUCAGCUAUUAUUCCAUCACUACUGUCAUCAAAUUAUGCUUGAGAAACUUACAACGUAGAUGAGAUGUUAUCAGGGGGAGGCAAAGUCAAAUCUACAUGAGAAGUCAAGGCUGACACCGAGGACACCUCACAUCCAACAAGCUGCUCAUUCAGAAAGCAGAAAUCAAAUUAAAGCAUACACCUAUAAGCAAUACUUUGUAGCAUAGAAAAUGAUUUGUUGCAACUUAUGCUUGAGUACCUUGUGGAACUAUUUAGGCAGAUAAAGUAACAAAUAUUGCAUCACGAAGCAUGUAACUAUUGUGGGUAAGAACUUGAUUUAUUUUUAAAAGAUGCAUUAUAGGUUGCAGUUUUAGUCUGUUCCUCUUCCUUUCCUACUUGAACAGCAAUUUAUUUUUAAAUGAUGCAUUAUAGGUUGUAAGAGAAUUGUGCUGUGAGUUAAUGGAAAUAUAUUUAGAAAAAUUUUAGUGGAAAAAUAAAAGACACCAUAUUAACAGGAUAAUCAUUGACAAUGAUUCCAGAAACAGACCCAAAGCACCCUGCAGGUUUACAGUAACAUUUUUACUGCUGCUACAAUUUCAAAAGAAGAAAAGGUAACAAGUAGAAGUCUCUCAGAAAUGCAAUAAACAGCUGUCUGUAUAUGAAUUCACUGCAAUAAUUAAAAUUUCAAUUGUACCUUUGUACAUCCUAUAGGUUAUCAAGCUAUCUAAAUCUAAAGCACCGAAUCCAAGACAAAGUCAAAGUUCCUGUCAAGUGUGAAAGGAACUAUAACAAGCAAAUAUAAAGGUUUAUUUUUUUGUCGAGAAUCAUUUUCAUUUCCCCAGUGUGAGUGCGAUUCUUAAUCCUAAUCCAAAUAAUUGGUCUCCAUUAAGAAAUCUAUUAGGUUAUUAUCUACGAGUUCACUGACCAUGCAGAAAUUAUGUUCUUGACUAUAGCAACAUUUAAGACCGGCUCUUCUCUGCCAAAGUACUGAUACCUAUUGCAGUAAUUUCUGUAGCUGAGUAUUUAUGGGAGAACCAGAUAGAAGAAUUUCAAAUGGGGAAUCCUGCUUCAUAUUACCUCAAACCAACCACCUUCCGACUUUCUUUACUCUUUGUACUUAUUCUUUCCUAAAGUACUCAGAUAACAGCUCCUUUAUUAUCCAGAAAAAAACUAUUACAAUUUGGAAAACAUGGUUGAGUUUUAAAGUUAACCUAGUUUCUUUUCCAGAAAUGUCAAGUACAACUGAUGGAUUAUUUAAAACCCUUGAUAGAUUUAAGAGUUAGAGAACUUAAUUUGUUAAAUAUAAAAUGGAGAGAGAAAAAGUGAUAAUCAACAACUCCAGUGCAUCACAUUGGAAUUCUAAAGUGCAUAAUGCUAGACAUACAAGGAAAUUAGAUCAACAAUGGUUCCUCAGAGUGAAAAAAUCAACUUACCAUCCUCAAUCCUGCGACAAAAUGAACCCCCAUGUCAAGAAUGAAACCACCCUGCCAGAAUGUAAAUAAAGCAGCAAGUAGAAAACAAGUCAAAUCAACAAAAGCUUCAUCCCAUGCCAUAUGAAAUUGUCUAAAUAAAUCAUCUCUAGCCAGUAAUCAUCAGCAGACAAGAACUUAAAAUAGAUUAUGCAGAUACGUGAUAGUUCUGAAUUCACAAAGGACCAGACUGGCUAGAGUUAAACCAAUUUUAGGACAGGAGUAUUUUUGUGUAUUUAAAUUGCUUAUACGUGUCAAUAAAACAUCGAGCAAGACAAUGUUCUUCCAUGAAUCAGUAUACCAAACAAAGGAAUGGUUAUUCAUAACCUGAAGGCACAGGGAUAAGAUUGGCUAAAAACAUACUUACAGUGAAGUUGCGUCUCCAAGAACUUGAGAAGUACGGAUUUGAGCUAGUCAUUGAUCCUUCAAUAAUAACUUGGAUACUCAUCACAUCUCCAACUUCAGCCAUUAGCUUUUUGCUCUACAAUAACAAAUAAAAAUUACCAUUUAUUUACGAAAGAUGCGAAAUAAAAAAUGGAGUCCAGUAUGCAAAAAAGAACAACCUCCUCAAAAGCUGGUUCAAAACGAUAAUUUUCUGCAACUGCCCAAACAGGUUGAAAAGGCAAGUGGGUCCGCAAAGAAUGGUAGGAGGACAGUGCAGCUUCCGCUUCAUCAAUGGCUACAUAAAUAUGGAUAUGUCAAGUUUAUAUGAAAUGAAUAUCAUGGUUAUAAAUCUUAGUAAAAUGCCAGAAAUGGUACAGCAACUAAGCGAUGAGUGGGUCAGAUGCACUAUUUACAAAAAGACUCUCUACUGCCUGUUUAUUUAGCUUGGAAUGAAUUAAGGACAAAAUUGACAAAUAUGCAGUAAUAUUCCAUUCAUUGAUAACAAGCCCUUCGGGAACUUCCAAACAACCAACUGAAUAUAGUUUCCUGACUUAGCAACCUUCACUCUAGCUGUGAAGCAGCCAACUGUAACGAGAAAAAAUAACAAAAGCCUGCGGAAGGGGGGAGGGUUGGGUUGCGUGGUAAGGGGGUAGGGAUUGUAAGUAGGAGGUCCUAGGUUCAAGACCUCCCACUUAGAAGCCUGUGGAACAAUCAAGAGUUGGCCCAUAUCGCUUCCUUUUUUCUUUUUAUAUCACAGCAAGUACUGCUUCUUGCUUGUGGAAGGGGGAACUUCAUUAAAAGGUUCUCUUGAGAAAGGACUCCAUUACAAGUUUUGCAACUGCAUAUUCUGGCAACUUGUGCUUUUUCCUUGGACUUGUUCAAGAUGUAAAAUAUAUAGUUGAUAUUUGAAACAUGGAAAUGCAAUCUACAGAGUGAUACAUUGACAUAUGGACGUAGUCGAUAAUUACCUUUUCCACACUCUCAAUAAUUUCUUUUAUUUUAGCUGGCCAUCUCACUGACUCCAUGAACUAUUUCCAAAGGUUAGACAUGGAGGGUAGUUCUAAACUUUAUGAAUUAUGGCAUCACCAAUACAUCCAUCCAUCUGUUCCAGGCUUUGGAUGGCAAAUUCAAGGGUACAAUGGCAGCCAUUUUUUCUUCACAAAGUUUGAAUAGUUGGAUACAAUGUUUUCCUUUUGACAUUUUAUGGUUUGAAAAGGAAUUUACCUAUAGAGAUAGUAUCAAAACCAAAUGUGGGACUUGAAUCCCAUAUGGCGCUAGAUGACAUCAUUUAUUAAGACAAUGAAGGAGAUACAACAGAAACAACCAAGUGGCUGCCAGAUAUGACUAGCUUCCCCUUCCAUGCAGACAGGGUGACUCGCCAUUUGCGUAAUAUAGAUACUUUAUGUAGCAUUCGCUUAGGCUGCUGAACUGAAUCAGCAAGAACGAUGGUUGUUGAUGAAAGAGAAGUGUUUGAAGUAGAUGUAUAAAUAAGAUGUACUACAGAAAAGGGGGAAAAUGGAUCUAGAAAUAUAAAUGCUGCCAUAAAAAUUUCAGUUACAGAAAUUCCCUAAGAUGACUCCAUUACCCAUCUGCAAAGGCUAAGGAGUUCUGUGCCGAUCUGUUCUUCAGCCGUUUAAGACAUCACAAGAGCAAGUAGAAGAAACUAGAAUAGAUACUUCCAACUCCACGCAAAGUGUAAGAGAGCCCAAGAAGUUUUUAUUAUUGGCCUGAUAGGCUGACAACCUAAAAUAUUAUCUUAAGUGUGAGUUUACUCUUAGGUGGAGAAUAGAAGAUAUUCCUCAGUUCAGAUAGUGAGAGUAUCAUAAUUGUACUAAUCUUUGUGCCAAAUGGUUGUCUAGAACAAGAUGUUGUGUGCUUAUACCAAUUUUGCUCUCUAGAACUCUUUGUUAUCUACGUAUUAGCUAAAACAGAUAAGAUUAUGCAGUUUCAUAUUGCUAUAGAUGCUGGUAUGGAAUAUAUAACAUUUUCACUUAAAGAUCAUGAGCAACACUUUUUAUAUUGUCAACUUUCAAGAGGUAAAGUGCAACAGAAUUUGCAGAACGAAAGAGAUAUAUGCUUUUAGAUACUGUUCUACUUACAAGCUGUAGCUGGUUUCUCUUCAGCACCAACAUUUUUCCAAGCAAUAAAAUGUGCAUGAAAAGAACAUCCCCUUGUCAGUUGAUUGAACAAGACUAGAAAAUCUAUUAUUCUGUACAAAAGUUAACAGUAGAUGGAAUAAAAUUCAAGACAUAAGUACACUAUUAUGGUGUUUAUAAUUGUAAUACAAAAGCUUCAUAAUGUCUAUAUAUUAAGAAAAGAAAAAAUGCCUGCUGAGAUAGAAUUCAACUUGAAACUACCUUGAAGGACAUGCUUUCCUUCUUUCAGCAGCCUCAAUGACAUAUCCACCUGCAUGAGUUAAUUUACAUGGAUAAACGAAAGGCAUUUAGUAGCAUGACACCAUGAACUGCAGUAAUAAAAUAGCGCAGAUUAGUUUUAUAUGAAGUACAUGUUUAAAGUUUCUGGUCAUCAAUUCCAAACACCAAUUACAGAUUAUUGCUGUGGUUUUUACAAAGUUUGACACCCAAAUAGGGAACAAGAGUUCUCAUCCAUGAUAGUAAUAUCGCUAAUUAACAAUAAGACCCAUAUUACACGCUAUUAAAUUAACGAAAAGCUGCAGUGGGUUGUGAAACAAAGUUGGUGAAUUUUUAGAAUCUAACAUGUCAAAUUUCAAUGGGUUUUGAACUGCCAACAUAUUAUGUUGAAGAUUCUUGUUGACUUUUCUGUUCAACUGACCUUUUUAAAUCAAUACCUUACAUUCAUUUGUUAUUAAAUGAGAGCAUUUGCAGACCAACGAAAUCCGUGUAAAAUGUGAACAUUUUAUUGGUUUACAAAGAAUGUACAUAAGUUUUCCAUAGAGUAAAUUUUACUUCAUGAGUAAACACAUAAAAUGAAAACUACAAAACAAUAAAUGGAACUAUCUUGUCUCUACCUUCAAAUUCAGACAACAGCAAGACAAACUUUGUUUAAGACAGGUAGACUUUAACAUACUUAUAGCUAACUAAGCAAAAUUCUUUAUUCCAAAAAACAAACAAGCUACAUUCUUUACUCUUGGGGAGCGGGAGAAAUAGCUAUCAAAUAUCUGCAACAAUACGCCAGACAAUCACAACAACACAAAUGCUACCUAAAUCAAAACUACGAUCAGAGGGAUGCAAACAUAAAAAACAUGGCAAAAUUAGAAAAUGUCAAAUAAAAAUUAUAGUAGUACCAUUUUCCGGUACCUAACACCCCAAAUACCUAUUUUUAUUGACAAAUAAUUUAUAUAGGGAACAUUCAAAUUUACCUGAAUCUGGCCAGCCAGAACUACAGCAACACCAAUAAUGGAACUGUCCUUGAUUAUCUCAUCAAGUCCCCCAUCACCCCACUUACAUUCCACUUCCGGGAAAAACUUUCUAGCAACCUCAACAGCAUCUCUAGCUGAUUCCUGCAAGAAUUUCUCAGUCAAAAUCCCGAUGCAAGUUCCCAAAACUGAAAAAAAAAAAACAAUAUUGCAAAUAUAUAAAACUUUCCUCAAAUCACAUUUGCAAGAAACACAAUUACAAAACGCUUCCAUCACAAACCUCCAAGAAUUUGCAACGAAAUAGAUUUAAUGCGUGAAACAAGAAAAUCCCUUUUGCUAUUUCAUCCCAAAGUUAAAUUGAAAAGUAAAUCCAAGGAAAAAAAAGGAAACUUUCCACUAAAUUCUUCCCUUCUCAACGACCAUUUUCCUCCCUUUUCUUUCAAGAAAAUGCAUGAUAACAAUUACCAGUAACGAAAGAAAAAGAAGACGAAAUCUUAAAGAACCUCAGACCGACUCCAAAUAGCUUUGAGUACAAAGAGAUUAGAGAUUUCAGCUAAUCUGGGAAUGUAUUGAGUUUUAACAAAAAUCCCAGCUCCAAUGAUGGCUAUAUUGGGUUGCUGAGCCAUUCUUUGGAAGAAUCUUGUGAUCUUCUACUACUAGAGUGCUAGUAGUCCGAUUCAAGUUUUAGCGUAGAUUGUAGAAAAGCUGAAGAGGAGGAUUCAAAUCAUCUAAUGUAAUGUAAAGAUUACGCCGCAGUAGAGGAUAAGUCGUGUUUCAACUGGAUUGAAGUUGGAAAAGUCUCGUGUGUUACAGGCUGCUUUUUGGGUUCAUUUCAAAGAUGUCUCGUGUGUGACAUCUUUUUGGGCUCAUAUUUUAAAGAUGCACGCUUGAAUUAUUGGGAUGUUUUUCAAAAAAUUUACUGUUUAUUUUUUGGAAAACAGUAAAUGUUGUUUGGAUUGCUAUCAUUCACAAACAAAUAGCUCCGUUUGGAUUUGUAAUUUUUUCCAAAAACUAUUCUUGUCUUUCUGCGACACAAAUACUGUGAACCAAUAACAAUUUAGUGCACAAUGAAACUGAGGCAGACCUACGUCGUUUGCACGAAGUCCAAUUGUGUUGUAUUUGACAGCACUGACUACUCAACCCUAAAACACAACCCAUUCCCAAUUGAGACAGAACGCCGCUUUAAUCCAAACUCUGUUUUUCUCUCCUUCUACUAUUGGAGAUCUAAAGAAAGCUCUUCGACUAAGUUGUGCCUUUCCGCCGCUCCUCACGUGUUUUUAUACAUUUGGCGUGCCGACUCGUUGCAAGAGUUCGAGAGGCAUCAAGGAACUCCUCACCCAUUUGCGAUUCUGUCAACCGACCCACUCCUGUCGUUUGCUAAUUUCGGUUCGACAUCACACUGACAGAUAACUGGAGUACGAUAGAAUUCUCAUUCCUUACCCAUCGAAUUUGCUUUUGUGGUAAGUCUCCCCUUUGUUUACUGGAUUGCAAAUAGUUCCAUAGGUUUUCAUUUUUUUUUCUUUUCCGUUAAAGAAACGAUUUAAAUUACAAUUGACCUUUGCUAUUUUUAGGGUAUAAUCUACUCUACUAUUAAAUAUGAGAGCAAUUCAUCCAGGUUGUUUGUUGCUUCUUAGCAGAAAUUCAACACCCCACCUGUUUGUUUGCUGAUACUUAACUUGCUACCCAAAAAAACGAAUUUACUUCUAUCAUGUGUUUCCCCCUUUUUUAUCUUACUUUGAAAAUGUAAAUUAUGUGCUUUUACGCUUAAUGUCUCUCAUACUUUGCAUUGGAGAUUUUAUUGUUCUGGUUGGCAGUGGCUUUUCAUCUUGGGGUUGUGCUGUCAAGUGCCAAUGGUUUGCCAGUAAGCUGUGUCGUUAAUCGGCUAGCAAAUGAUUGCGUAGACGAUAAUGCAUCCUGAAUUUUUAAGGUCCUAGUUAGUCUCAAUUCCGACUUGUUCCCCAGGGAACAGUUAAAACCCAACUGUUACUGAUUAAAUCCUUGAUCAAGCACAUCAUUGACUGCUUGGUUACUUUAGCGGCUUAUUGAAUCUCAAUCAAUUAGUGCAAAAUACUUCAGCUCAGUCAUUAUUGAAGUUGAUUCAACAAAACAAGUAAGAAAUAUUUCUAUGGCUGCAGAUUCUGCAAAAUCAUAGUACCAUGGUAUGUUGAAUAUUAGUAGUUGGAUAGGAGGUGGAUUUGUAACUCGAGUUAGAGCUUUCUACUAUGAUUUUUCAUAUCACACACAAGGAUUUUGUCUUGCCUUGUUUAAUUGCAAAGUGAACUCAUGUUGCCAUAAUAUUCUUCUACUAUUGUGUUUUUUCCUCAAUGUCACUGGCUAAUGCUAUUUAAGGCAUGUAAUUUUUUUUCCAACUUCUGAUACACGUUGUAGGCUGUCUAAAUUCAUACUUCGUGGGGUGCUAAAAAACAGGUUGAUCUGACUUGUAUGAUUGCCGUCAUUUAAGGCUACAUGCCCCCUAUUACUCGCCGUGCUGUCAAAGAUAUAUUUGUUUAGUUCCCCUUUGUUCAAUGUCUUGCCUACAGACAGUAAUUUUUUCCUUAUCAAACCAGCAUUGAAAUAGAAUAGCAUUCAGACUACUCGUUCAUCCAUUUCUGCUUAGGGGGAAAACGAUUUGAAGCAACGCAUUUCUAACAACUACAAGGUAAUUCUUGUUCCUCCUCCUGUUUGGUUAUUAUUAAGUAUGUCCUCUCUGUAUCUUGAAUAAUCAUGCCUGUCAAUGCAUUUCUUUGUUUGUUUCUGGAUUUGUUUAUGAGUUAAUUAAGAUAAGAAAACAAAGGCGCGGAUGUUCAGAGCGUGUGCAUUUCUUUAGGGAGUACGAAAUUUCCUUUGCCCAGCACCUUGUCAACAUGCAUAGAGCUAAUGAAAUUAGGGACAAUAAUAUUUCUAACUAUGUGGUUCCUGAAAUACAACGGCGGUUGAAUGGCCAAUAUGGCACCUCCUUCACAAGCGAUAGUAUAAGAGGCAAAUACUAUGCAAUGCGAGAGUUAACCAAACUGUACAUUUCUUUCAAGAGGCAGGAAACGGGAUUGGAUUGGGAUAGCCAGAAGUUUACAUUCCUUAUGGACGAUAACAAGUGAGCCGAGAUAAAGCAGAUAUAACUAUUUUAAUAAAGAAUAGAUCUGGCUGCACAUUUUUUUUCCUAUUCUGGGGUAAUUCAUUAACUCCCUUUUGGCUGUGUUUUUUGUACAAAAUGAACCCAAAAUUUUUAAAAUUUCAAAAUGACUGCUUAGUCUAUCAUUUACUUGAGGAAGUAUUUGUCAAUCAAGGCGCAACGGGAGACUUCACCUCUGGCUUCGAAAACAACCCCCGCAUUCAGUCGAGGAGCAAGAGAUGGAGACUGCUGCACAAUGUGUACGAGGAAAGCCCAGGUUGGACCAUGCGGACUGCGAUGCUGAUGUACAAGUAUUAGGGGCAAAUGAAGAGAAAGGGAAGAAGGGUAAAGGAAAGCGAAAGUCUGGUAACGCAUCAAGCGGUAGUCUUAUGUCUACCGCCUCUGGUUCAAUGACUGGUAGAUACUUUAGGGCUCUUGACACCAUUGAGUCGCUUGUUAGUCGAAAGAAGAGUAGCAGCAUGAGUGUGUUAGUAAGCUCUUCGACCAAGCAUCGUUCUGGCCGAGAUGGAUCGAAGAAAUCGGAGUACAAUGUUGUCAUUGCUCAACUUCGGGGAUUAGAGAACGUGACCUACGUAGCCAAAAUGUCCGCUGUUGAAAUAUUGAAGGACCCUCAAGAGCUGGCUAUUUGGAAUUUAGCUGGAUCAGACGUCGACCGCAUCACCUUUAUGAAGCAUCGAGGCUAUCUCCCGCCAGAACAUGGCACUCAGAAGCCCCCUCCCCCACCGCCGUUAUAGUCGUUUGUGCAUCGGGAGCACUUUUUUAAAGCUGGCCGUCGUUGCCUUUGUUUGUUUAUGUUUGAGACCGUUAGUUGUAGCAUUUGCUACCGGAACUGUAAGUGUUUUUUCUUGGUCUGUCAUUUGUUUAUUUAAAUUCACUGCGCUUUGUGGCCAUGACUUUGUUGAGUAUUUUAUAAUUCUUAUAUUUCAGACAAGUUAACUAUGAGUUGUCAUAAUGUUUGUGGCCAAAUCAGCAGUUGCUCUAGUAUGUUUGCAUAUUGCCGGUCAAUACUUCUAAACAUGGCACUAACUCCAUUUGACUUUUAUGAUACCAUUUGCUAUUAACACUGGCUUGUUCGUUGGUAUUUACAAGGCAAUUAAUGACUUGACUUUGUAAGAAAAUAUAAUUUCAGAUAUUAACUAUUCCAGGUGUAUAACACUUUUUAAGUCUUAUGAUUUAUUUUUCUAUUAGUCUUGAUUUUGAUCUAUACUACUGCCAUAAACCUUGCAGAUUCGCCUUUGACGAAGUUGAACCAAAAACACUUGAUGAAAAAUGAUCAUUAUGCAUACAGUGGGGAAACUUCUGAUGAAUCGGACGAGAAGGAGCUCCUUUUGAUUUUCGCCAUGUUUGUUUUUCUAGGAUUGGCCUUAUUCGACUCGUACCUAAAUCCUUUGCAGCGGCGACGAAUCCGAGAUAGUUCACAGUCAGGUGCUCAAUGGAUUGUAUGCUAAUAAACGGCCAUCGAAACAGAAUAUUUGACAACCUUCGCAUGAAAACUCCCCUUUUCCUGCAAUUAUAUGACUUGUUGCUUGAGCGGGGCUAUUGGGAGCUGCACCCUACACAAUGGGUGGGAAUUCAUGAGUCUGUCGCCAUUUGCCUUCUGUGCUUGAGUCAUAAUAAGCGACAUAGGGUGCUAGCCGAGAGAUUCCAACAUUCUUUCAAAACAGUGGAUCGCCAUCUACGAUGCUGCCUUCAAUCUCUCGUUCAAUUGGGACGCGACUUGAUUAGACCGAUAGAUUAUCACACAAUUCAUCCAAGAAUACAAAACAGUACGCUGUUCUGGCCAUGGUUUAAGGUUAGGGAUUCAAGAUCCUAGUUAGUCAUUAUGAAAACCUGUUAAAUAUGUAACACUGGCCCAUGUGAUUAGGAUUGCAUUGGAGCUAUUGUUGGAACACAGUAUCAGCUUGGUGUAGAGUCGAAAAUAGGGAUUGUUACCGGAACAGGCAUGAAGGCUUAUCAUACAACAUUCUAGCCGUGUGUGACCAUAAUAUGAGAUUCACUUAUGUCAAGGUAGGGUGGGAGGGUAGUGCUCAUGAUUUUAGGAUCUUACGAGAUAUUUUACUUGAUCCUAAUUGUGUCUUUCCAAUGCGACCAGCAGGUGCGUGAAUAUUAAAUAAUAAAUCCUUGCCUAAUCGAGUUUCUUACAAUUAAAUUUGAGUUGCCAUAACGAACAUAACUAUCUGUACAUGAUAUGCAGGCAAAUAUUAUGCAGUGGAUGCGACAUACAUAAAUAUGCCAGGAUUUAUAGCUCCCUUUAAGGGCGCAUGGGGAACCCCACAGGAGCGGGCAGUAAAAGCACUUUUCAAUAGACGUCAUGCAUCGUUAAGAAACAUUAUAGAAUGCACAUUUGGUGUCUUGAAAAAGCAAUUUUCGAUACUGAAGAGGCUUAUGCAGAACUAUUUGAUGGCAACGCAAAAUAACAUUGUCCUUACUUAUUGUGUCUUGCACAACUUCAUGCGCGAUCAUGUUCCUAAUAACACAUAUUUUGUUGAAAAAGAAGCUGAUGCAGUAAUGGCAGAUAAUUUAGACUAGGGCAACCAAAAUGUUUGGACCACAACCACUCGAUAUGUCGGCACAAGGAAUUGCUGGCUGGAAUGAAGAUAGAAAAGCAAUAGUCGAUCACAUGUACUAUCACCAAUAUUAGUAGAACCCAAUUGAUCUCUCUCUCGUGGGACUUUCUAAUUAUAAUAGGGAUUGUUGUUGCCUUUGUAAUAAUUAAUGUUUUCACGGACAAAUUAAAUGGCAUGUAGUCUUAUGCAACAAUCGUUUUGCUUAUCUUUAAUUGUACCACGAAUAAAUUAUGUAUUUUAGUAAGGAUAUGCAACUAAGAUUGAUUAAAAAUUUAACUGCUAUUUUUUAAAAACAACGAAUCCAAACAUGUUGGCUACAUUUGGAUUAGCUAUUUUUUGGGGUAUUUUUCAAAAAUUUUACUGUUCAUUUUUUGGAAAACAGUAAAUGUUGUUUGGAUUGCUGUCGUUCCUAAACAUAUUAUUUUUAAAAAAUAAACGUAUUUGGAUUCACUAUUUUUGAAAAACAGCAGUUAAAUUUUUAAUCAAUCUUAGUUGCAUAUCCUUUCUAAAAUACUUAAUUUGUUCAUGGUACAAUUAAAAAUAAGCAAAACGGUGGUUGCACAAAACUACAUGUUAUUUAAUUUGUCUGUGGAAACAUUAAUUAUUACAAAGACAACAACAAUCCCCCUUCUAGUUUGAAAGCCCCACGAGAGAGAGAUCAAUUGGGCUCUACUAAUAUUGGUGAUAGUACAUGUGAUCGGCUAUUGCUCUUCUAUCUGUAUUCCAGCCAGCAAUUCCUUGUGUCGACAUAUCAAGUGGUUGUGGUUCAAACAUUUGGUUGUCUUAGUCUAAAUUAUCUGUCAAUACUGCAACAGUUUCUUUUUCAACAAAAUAUGCGUCAUUAGGAACAUGAUCGCGUAUGAAGUUGUGCAAGACAUAAUAAACAAGGAUAAUGUUAUUUUGUGUUGCCAUCAAAUAGUUCUGCAUGAGCCUCUUUAGUAUCGAAAAUUGCUUUUUUAAGACAUCAAAUGCGCGUUUUAUAAUGUUUCUUAACGAUGCAUGGCGUCUGUUGAAAAGUGCUUUCACCGCAUAAUAUUUGCCUGCAUAUCAUGUACAGAUAGUUAUGUUCAUUGUGACAACUCAAAUUUAGUUGUAAGAAAACUCAAUUAGGCCAGGAUUUAUGAUUUAAUUUUCACGUACCUGCUGGUGGCAUUGGAAAUGCACAAUUAGGAUCAAGUAAAAUAUCUCGUAAGAUCCUAGAAUCAUGGACACUACCCUCCCACCCUACACUGACAUAAGUGAAUCUCAUAUUAUGAUCACACAUGGUUAGAAUGUUGUGUGAUAAGCCGUCAUGCCUGUUCCGGUAAUGAUCCAUGUCUUCGACUCUAUACUAAGUUGAUACGUGUGUUAUAUCAAUAGCUUUAAUGCAAUCCUAAUCACAUGGACCAGUGUUACAUAUUUAACAGGUUUUCAUAAUGACUAACUAGGACUUUGAAUUCCUAACCUUAAACUAUGGCCAGAACAGCGCACUGUUCUGUAUUCUUGGAUGAAUUGUGUGAUAAUCUAUUGUCCUGACCAAGUCGCAUCCCAAUCGAACAAGAGAUCGAAAGCAGCGUUGUAGAUGGCGAUCCACUGUCUCGGAAUAAUGUUGAAAUCUCUCGACUAGCACCCUAUAUCGCUCAUUAUGGUUCAAGCACAAAAGGCAAAUGGCGACAGACUCAUGCAUUCCUACCUGCUGUGUAGGCUGCGACUCCCAAUAGCCCCGUUCAAGGAAUAAGUCACGUAAUUGUAGGAAAAGAGGAGUUUUCAUGCGAAGGUUGUCGAAUAUUCUAUCUCGAUGGCCAUUUAUUAGCUCAACAACCCAUUGAACACCUGACCGUGAACCAUCUCGAAUUCGUCGCCGCUGCAAAAGGUUUAGGUAUGGGUCGAAUAAGGUCAAUCUUAGAAGAACAAACAUGGCGAAGGUCAAAAAGAGCUCCUCCUCGUCCGAUUUGUCAGAAGUUUCCCCACCAUAUGCAUAAUAAUCAUUUUCCAUCAAGUGUUAUUGGUUCAGUUUCGUCAAAGAUGAAUCUGCAAGGUUUGUGGCAGCAGUAUAAAUCAAGAUCAAGACUAAUAGAAAAAUAAAUCAUAAGACUUAAAAAGUGUUAUACACGUGAAAUAGUUAAUAUCUGAAAUUAUAUGUUCUUAUAAAGGCAAGUCAUUAAUUGCCUUGUAAAUACCAACGAACAAGCCAGUAUUAGCAGCAAAUGAUAUCAUAAAAGUCAAAUGGAGUUAGUGUCAUGCUUGGAAGUAUUGGCCGGCAAUAUGCAAACAUACUAGAGCAACUGCUGAUUUGGCCACAAACAUUAUGAAUAAAACCUGACAACUCAUUGUUAACUUGUCUGAAAUAUAAGAAUUAUAAAAUACUCAACAAAAUCAUGGCCACAAAGCGUGGUAAAUUUAAAGAAACAAAUGACAGACCAAGAAAAAACACUCAGAGCUCUGGUAGCAAAUGCUACAACCAACGGUCUCAAGCAUAAACAAACAAAGGCAACGAUGGCUAGCUUUAAAGAAGUGCUCCCAAUGCACAAACGACUAUAAUGGGGGUGGGGAGGGGACUCCUGAGUGCUAUGUUCAGGCAGGAGACAGCCUCGACGCUUCAUAAAGGUGAUGCGAUCGGCGUCUGAUCCAGCUAAAUUCCAAAUAGCCAGCUCUUGAGGGUCCUUCAAUAUUUCAGCAGCGGCUAUUUUGGUUACGUAGGCCACAUUCUCUAAUCCCCAAAGUUGAGCAAUGGCAACAUUGUACUCCGAUUUUUUCGAUCCAUCUCAGCCAGAACGAUGCUUGAUCGGAGAGCUUACUGACACACUCAUGCUGCUACUCUUCUUUCGACUAACAAGUAAUUCAAUGGUGUCAAGAGCCCCAAAAUAUCUAUCAGUCACUGAACCGGAGGCAGUAGACAUAGGACUACCGCUUGAUGCAUCACCAGACUUCCGGUUUUCUUUACCCUUCUUCCCUUUCUCUUCAUUUGCCCCUUAUACUUGUACAUCAGUAUCGUAGUCAGCAUGGUCCAACCUGCCCUUUCCCCAUGCACAUCAUACAUCAGUCUCCAUCUCUUGCUCCUUGGUUGAAGUACGGGGGUCAUUUUUGAAACCAGAGUUGAAGUCUCCCGUUGCACAUUGAUUGAUAAAUACUUUUCAAGUAAAUGAUAGACUAAGCAGUCAUUUUAAAAUUUUAAAAAUUUUGGGUUCACCUUGUACAAAAAACACAGCCAAAAGGGAGUUAACGAAUUACCCCAGAAUAGGAAAAAAAACGUGCAGCCAGAUCUAUUCUUUAUUAGAAUAGUUAUACCUACUCCAUCUCAACUCACUUGUUAUCGUCCAUAAGGAAUGUAAACUUCUGGCUAUUCCAAUCCAAUCUCAUUCCCCGCCUCUUGAAGGAAAUGUACAGUUUGGUUAACUCUCACAUUGCAUAGUAUUUGUCUCUUAUACUAUCAUUUGUAAAGGAGGUACCAUAUUGGUCGUUCACCCGCCAUUGUAUUUCGGGAACUACAUAGUUAGAAAUAUUAUUGUCCCUAAUUUCAUUAACUCUAUGCAUGUUGACAAGGUGCUGGGCAACGGAAAUUUCGUGCUCCCUAGAGAAAUGCACACGCUCCGAACAUCCGUGCCUUUGUUUUUUCAUCUUAAUUAACCCAUAAACAAAUCUAGAAACAAACAAAGAAAUGCAUUAACAGGCAUGAUUAUUCAAGAUACAGAGAGGACAUAAUUAAUAAUAACAAAACAGUAGGAGGAGCAAGAAUUACCUUGUAGUAGUUAGAAAUGCAUUGCUUCGAAUCAUUUUCCCCCCAAGCAGAAAUGAAUGAACGAGUAGUCUGGAUGCUAUUCAGUUUCAAUGCUGGUUUGAUAAGAAAAAAAAUUACUAUCUAUAGGCAAGGCAUUGAACAAAGGGGAACUAAACAAAUAUACCUUUGGUAGCACGGCGGGUAAUAGGGGGCAUGUAGCCUUAAAUGGCGGCAACCAUACAAGUCAGAUCAACUUGUUUUUUAGCACUCCACGAAGUAUGAAUUUAGACAGCCUACAACGUGUAUCAGAAGUUGGAAAAAAAAUUACAUGCCUUAAAUAGCAUCAGCCAGUGACAUUGAGGAAAAAACACAGUAGUAGAAGAAUAUUAUGGCAACAUGAGUUCAGUUUGCAAUUAAAUAAGGCAAGACAAAAUCCUUGUACGUGAUAUGGAAAACCACAGUAGAAAGCUCUAACUCAAGCUACAAAUCCACCUCCUAUCCAAAUACUAAUAUUCAACCUGCCAUGGUACUAUGAUUUUGCAUAAUCUGCAGCCAUAGAAAUAUUUCUUGCUUGUUUUGUUGAUUCAAAUUCAAUACUGGUAACAACUGAGCUGGAGUAUUUUGCACUAAUUGAUUGAGAUUCAAUAAGCCGCUAAAGUAACCAAGCAGUCAAUGAUAUGCCUGAUCAGGGAUUUAAUCAGUAAUAGUUGGGUUUUAAUUGUUCCCUGGGGAACAGGUCGGAAUUGAGACUAACUAGGACCUUGGAAUUCAAGAAACAUUAUUGUCUGUGCAAUCAUUUGCUAGCUGAUUUACGGCACUGCUUAUUGGCAAACCAUUGGCACUUGGCAGCACAACCCCAAGAUGAGAAGCCACUGCCAACCAGAACAAUAAAAUCUCCAAUGCAAAGUAUGAGAAACAUUAAGCGUAAAAGCACAUAAUUUACAUUUUCAAAAUAAGAUAAAAGGGGAAAACAUACGACAAAAGUAAAUUAGUUUUUUUGGGUAGCAAGCUAAGCAUCAGCAAACAAACAGGUGGGGUGUUGAAUUUCUACUAAGAAGCAGCAAACAACUUGGAUGAAUUGCUCUCAUGUUUAAUAGUAGAGUAGAUUAUACCCUAAAAAUAGCAAAGAUCGAUUGUAAUUUAAACCAUUUAUUUAAUGGAAAGGAAAAAAAAAUGAAAGCCUAUGGAACUAUUUGCAAUCCAGUAAACAAAAUGGAGACUUACCACAAAAGCAAAUUCAAUAGGUAAGGAAUGAGAAUUCCAUCGUACUCUGGUUAUCUGUCAGUGUGAUGUCGAACCGAAAUCAGCAAACGAUGGGAGUGGGUCGACUGACAGAAUCGCAAAUGGGUGAGGAGUUCCUUGAUGCCUCUCGAACUCUCGCAAUGAGUCGGCAUGCCAAAUGUAUGAAAACGUGUGAGGAGCGGGGGAAAGACACAACUCAGUCGGAGAGCUUUCUUUAGAUCUCCGACAGUAGAAGGAGAGAAAAGCAGAGUUUAGAUUGAAGCGGCUUUCUGUCUCAAUUGGGAAUAGGUUGUGUUUUAGGGUUGAGUAGUCAGUGCUGCCAAAUACAACACAAUUGGGACUUUGUGCAAAAACGACGUAGGUCUGCCUCAGUUUCACUGUGCACUAAAUUGUUAUUGGUUCACAGUAUUUGUGUCACACAAAGACAAAAAUAGUUUUUGAAAAUAAUUGCAAAUCCAAACGAAGCCGAUGUCUCAUGUGUAACAGGCUGCUUUUUGGGUUCAUUUUUAGGCAAAACAAGGAAACGUGGUAUUUAUAUCUAUAUGUAUAAGCAGGAGAGGUAUUAGUGAAUGCCUCUUAAAUGGCUUCCAAAUCUCUCGUACUUUUUUUCUAAAAUUUUCAAUUAUUUUAAUAUAUAAAUUCAAAGGUUAAUUCCACUUUGUCCCCCCAAACUUUGGACGAUUACCUACUUCAUUCCCUAAACUUCAAAAUGGGACACUUAAGUCCCUAAACUUAUAAAUACCUCCCACUUAAGUCCCUAAACUUAUAAAAUGGGACACUUAAAUCCCUAAAUCCUUAUAAAAUGAGACACUUCGACCACCAACAGCAUUCAGGAUUUGUUAACAAUUUUCCUUAAGUGGGAGGUAUUUAUAAGUUUAGGGACUUAAGUGUCCCAUUUUGAAGUUUAGCGACUGAAGUGGGUAAUCAUCCAAAGUUUGGGGGGACAAAGUGGAAUUAACCCUAAAUUCAAUUAAAAAGUUUGAAAUAGUGAUUUACAAUUAAUUCUAUGACAAUUCAAAUUAAAAAUUUAAAACUUUUUUCCCACUUCAAAUGAGUGCUUAAUAAAUCGUUAUAAUUUAUUUUCAAACUUUAACCCCUUUUUCCUUCCAUAAGUAAAGAAAAUAAAUUUGGAUAAUUUGAUUAGUUCCAUAUUAAAAUCAUUCACACCAUUACAACUUUAUUACUUUAGCCCAUUUUAUUCCUUGAUUAGUAAAGAUUGAUUUGUCAAAUCUAAAUGUGAUUAGUCCUAUUUUUUAAUCAUUUAUAUAGUAACAUUUUUAGCAUUUUCCUUCUAGAUAUAUACAUAGAUUUGUCAAACAUUCAGAUAACAUAUCCAAUUAUAACCAUUCUUUACCCAUUUUACCUAUUGCAGCCUUAAACUUAUCCAAUUAGACGAUUAUUCCAACUUAUGAAAUAAACAUUUGUCAUACAACGUUAUCUAGAUAAUAUUUGAUAUGCGCAAUACUUUAUCUGAAUAAUUUUGCAUAUAAUGAAAGUGCACAUAAAAAAAAUUUUAUAUCAAUUUUAAAUUAAUAAAAGGGGCAUUUAGAUGGUUGUUUUUUGGAGUGUUUAUCAAAAAUUUUUAAAAUAAAUAUUUGUUUAAACAAUUAUCUUGGGUGAUUGUCACAAAAAAUAGUAGGAUUUCACCAAAGUUAUACUUAAUUACUUUUCCUUGAUUACUAUAAUUGUAACUCUUUAUUUGAAAAAAAAAACACUUGAAAAGUGAGGUAAUAAAUUCUAAAUAAUAAAAGGAAUAGAAAGAUUGGAGUAUAGGGUUGGGAAGGGUAAAAGUAAGGUAAUGAAUCCUAAAGAAUAAAAGGAGUAUAGAGUUGGGGAGCUAUAGUUGUAGGUUGGGAUAAAACUAUCAAAAUGGGUGAUUUAUGUGAGUUAAACUGACAUAAUUUUUCAUGGUUUUGGUUAUCUUACCCAUUUACAAUCCACUAAAAAAUUUUAUUUAUUUUUUCUCUCAUAUUCUUUGAGCAACAAAAUAAGAUAUCAUUGUAAUCAACAAAAAUAAGAACACAUUACAUUAAUAAAUAAAUUUUUACCUAAAAAUAAAAAAAUUACACAGAAGAACCAAUAGUAGUGAUCAUAAGAAGUUUCAAUUUUGUCACUCUACAAGAAUCUCAAAAUAAUUUAGGUGUGAAUGUAAGAAAUCAAUUAACGCUUAAUGAGUUAAUUAAACUUUGAUGGAAGGAAGGAAGGAAGUCGGAUAAAAUUUAACAAAAAUUAAAAAUUAAAGAAUAGGAAAAGAACAUUUAAUAUGCCUUUGUAAAAAGUAGAAUAUAAUUAUUAAAUUUGUAGUGAUUUAAAUUUAUUUACUAAUGAAUUUGAAUCUAUGUCUAAUUUAAUUAGGUCUAAAUAGGUAGUCUCAAUGUAUCCAUUUAAUAGCCACUAAUUAUUGAGUUUAAUUGGGUUAUCCAUUUGAAGUUAAUAAAAUUGCAUACCUAUACUCAUUUGUUGAAGAACAAGUUGAAAAAUUGGUCAUUAUUUACAAUUAUAUAUGGGUGAAAAGAGUAACAAGAUAGGAAGUAAAAAGGUUGCAAAAUUAGGUACAAAAUUGCACAAUUUAAUAGAAGCAAGGUAGGGUGAAAGAAAGGUAGAGUUUGUGGGAGAGAGAAGAGUUGGAGGGAUGUGGGAAAUUUGGGUUAGAAAGGUGAGGAAAAAGGUAAUGAAAAUUAGGAGAAUGUUAAUGGGAAGUGACACAAAAAAAAAGAGAAUAUGGAAGAGUGGGGUAACAAUUUUUGUUUGGUGUGCUUUUAGUAUUUCUUUAGAUAUUUUUGUGACCUUUGUUCAUACUUUUAAUAUAUGCUGUGGUUUUAGAUAAGGUACACGAAUACAAUAUAAAUUAGACACUAAAAUAGCACUCUUUUGAUUUUUUUAACCUUUUUAUGUAACUAUUAUAAAUAAUUCAUUUACUAUUAUUAUUAUAUUAAAAGUAAAUUUGUGCAUUGGCAUGGGUUGCAAUACUAGUUUCAAUUGGAAUCUAUAUAUAUAAAUAUAUAUAUAUAUGUAUAUGGAAGUAACUAUUUUCAUUAAAGUUGUUUCUCACCCCUAUGUGACAUGUCUAAUCGAAAAGAAUUAACGAGUUAUGGGUCAUUUAAAUUUUAUUCAUAUAUAUAUAUAUAUAUAUAUAUAUAUAUAUAUAUAUAUAUAUAUAUAAGUAGUUAUUUUAAUUAGAGUUGUUUCUCACUCUUACUUGGCAUGUCUAAUUGAAGAGAAUUAAUGAGUUAUGGAUCAUUUAGGUUUUAUCCAUAUUGAAUAUUGUAUCAUAUGUUUGAAAAUUAUCCUUAAUUUUAAAAUAAAUUUAAAAAAUAACUAAUCUUAUCUUAAUGAUAUCUACAUUUUAUAAAAUUAUUACAUAAAACUAUAGUAAAAUCUUUUUCAAAUCACAAUUAGUAAAAUUUUACAUAUUCCAUAAAUUACUUUCUUUCACCACUAUAUCGUUGAUUAGUAUUCGAAUUGUUCAUAAUCUCUUCCCUUAAUUUUGAAAUAAUUUAGUGCAAAAAAGAGAAUAAACUGUUACACCGACAGAUUUUUCAAUUCAAAAUCAGAACAAGUGCUGCUGUCGUUACACUUACUUGAGCUAGCUCUUAUAGGUAAAGAAAUUAGAAGAAAAGCUAUUGCUCUGGGGUUUUGGAUUGUGAAUUUUGACUUCUAAGCAACCCCUUGAGGUUCCGUCUGAAACUACAAUUAACUACUCCUCUACAAUUCCAACUGACAAUCUUCAUGGAUAAACCAUAAUAGUAUAUGUGAGAACCCCGAAAAUAUAUAUAUAUAUAUAUAUAUAUAUAUUCAUGCAUAUUUCACUUGCAUUUUGAUUCUUUAAUAAAUUCUAGCAUUAUUUCUACUUGUCUUUAAAUAAGUGCGUAAAAACAAUUUUUAUGUGAUAAAUAAUAUAAUUGUGCCAAAAUAUUAAAGUACUUGGUUUUGUCAAGAUAAAUUAAUAUUUCUUGAUGUAGAUUAUUUAUUGCCUUAAUAUUAAUUCCUUGAAUGUCGAUAGCUAAUUUUAAGUGUUAAUAAUGUUAAGUGCCAUCGGAAACCUUAGAAUUAAGAUGGAAUCGAUUCUAGGUCAAAACCCUUUAUAAUUACACUUAGGAUGUUAAAAUCUCGAUAAUUGAAAUUUUUGCGAGAUUAGUAUACUAGUAAGUAGUCAAAUUUCAUUUGGGCUAAAUUUUCGGAAUUAGAUUACGAAUGAGGACUUAAGUGAAAAUUCGGACAAGAUGUGAAAAGAUUUAAUUAGCUUUCUUCCAUCUCGAAUUAACCAGGCAUGUAUUAUUUCCAUUUUCGCCGUUAGAAUUAUUAAAUACUAAUUCAUAGAUUAAUUAAACGUUUAAAUUUAAAACGUAUAAAACAAACUGUAUGAACCAAAUAAAAACAUGGGGUAUACCGUAACUGGUAUGAAUUAAAUAUAUUUUAGUGCUAAGCUACUUGUUUUAUUGAUUUCCUAAAAAUUAAAUGUGUGAGAACUUAUGAUAUUAAGGAGAUAGAAAUAAGAUUAGGAGUUAACAAGUGAGUUAAGGAAAAUUUUCAGUUUGGUAAAAUAAAUGAUAUAAUGUAAAAGGACUAAACUAACCCUUCACUCUAGCAAAUUCACCAUGCGACCAGUGGACUAUGGAUUGAGUGGAAAGCUUAGGAAUCAUCAAACCACUAACUAAAGAAGCCUUGUGUUCCUACCUUGAUAUUAACGGCUGAGGGGAAAUAAAAGAAAGAAAUAGAGAGCAAAGCUUUCACUCCAUCUUCAUACCCAAAGCCGUGUGAAAGAGUGAGAGAGAGAACUCUGCCUUUUUCUUAGGCAGCAACAACCGAGAGAGAAAACAGAGCAUCUGAAUAGCUUUCCCAUUUUUGCAUUCUUUAACCGACCAAAAACCGAGAGCUAAAGUGAAGGAUAGGAAGAGAAACUUUGUUAGCUUCUUCACUGAUUAGCUUCAACUGAGAGGAAGAGUGAAAGCUACUGCAAUUUUAAGAGAAACAUUAGUCAGAGUUUCCCUAUGUUUUGCUCCAUUUAGCCGAGAGAAAAGUAGAGAGAGUGGAGAGAAAAAAACUGGUGUCUUGUUUCCUUGCUCCAGCCGAGAGAGUUAGCGAAUGAAGGAGGGGAGGAAGUUGCACAAGUUGCUUUCUUAAAUUGUUCGCGAGUGAGUGUGAGAGAUAACCGCGUGAGUUUUAUCAUCCUCUUCCUCACUGCCUAGAGCUUCCAUUCCUUUCUUCAACCUCAACCAGCUGCGAUCAUCCUCCAUCCCAUUCCGCGUGCAAGCUUGAGCAAGAGAGGGAGUUGGCAGGCUGCAAUCCUGUGCUGACCGAGAGUGAGCCAAGAAAGAAAAAAUUCAGUUUCUUGUUGCGUGAGCUAAGCUUCAAACUGAGGUAAACUCUGGUCCUAGACUAGCUAAUUAGAGAUAGAUGAGAUUGUUUAAGAGCUUGCAUGUGAUGGUUAAGCACUUGGACGAUGAAAUCAAAGGAUAAGAAAUCUGAUUUUGACGGAGAUGGUUUUGCCGAGAGCCUGUUCAGGAAAUGCAGUCCUUAAUCUGCUUAUUUGUGACAAUCUGAGCUUAUAAAUGUAAUUAGCUAAGUAAAAAUUAGAUGAUUAAGUCUUGCAUGAAGAUAAUCAGUCGGCUAAGCAAGAAAUAAAGAUGAAACAAAAGAAUUUGCUGCAUGCAAGAUCAUCCGAGAAUGGUUGAACAAAAUUCUGGAAUUGUGGAUGAUAAUAGUUGCUGUCCGAACUUGAUUUAAACUAGAAAUGAUAGUAACUCCAUUAAGUAGCCUUGCAUGUUAGUUGUGGGUACUCAACACAAUGAUUCAACCGAGGUAAAUUCGGAUUUAAGACCAACUAAGUGCUGGAAAAUUUAUGUGAUUUACCGAGGGAGUGAAACUGGAAUUUUGCAGUUAUUUUUGGGAAUUUUUCUUUGGAAAAUAAUGCUUGGAAAUGCAUGAAAUAUGUUGUUUUAAAGUCUUAUAAGAUAUAUAGAUGUGAAACACUUGAUUUGUUGGUUGAAUUGACCAAAAAUGUUGAAGCAAAGUGCUGGAAUUUCUCAGCUUAGCCGAGGGAAGAAGAAAGAAUUUUUCCAGAUUUCUUUUGCAAAUUUUGGGUUCCAGAUUGUUACAUUAAAGUUUGAUUCGCUGUAAAAUAUCCUAUACUUGUUGAUUGCACUUUAUAAUAUCGUAAGAUAGCCACGCAUGUGGCUGUUGAGCCGUGGAAAAAAAAAAGAGAAGAAGAAAAAAAAUCUGAAUUUUUAGAAUUGCUUGAGAGUUAAGCCGCCGUGACAUUCUUCAUGUUUUUGGGUUGAGUUCUUGGCUAUUUAAGUGAUUUACACAAGCGUUAAAUUUUUGAUGGAAUUAACUGCUGGAAUUACAUGUUAUUAGUUCUAGUUGGUUGAUUUCACUUUAGAAUAUAUUAAGAUGGUCAUGCAUGUGAAAUUUUGGGGUGACCAUUUGAUUUUAUGGCUGAAAUGUUGACAUGGAAGUUACUCGGUGGAUAAACCACUUGCGGUUUAGCCGAUGGAAUUUCUUGGCGUUGGAAUGGAUAUUUUGGAAAAAAAAAAUGGCUGGAUAAUGUUUAAUCUGUAAUUGUUAUGUGUAAUGAGGAUUAUUGGUUGCAAUCUUGGAAAAAAAAAGGUUGUUGCAAAUCUUGUCCUUGGUUUCAAAUACAUGUUAUUGAUUUUUAAUCUUUGAAAAUUUUCGUUAAAUUGUUGUAAGAAGUAAUUGUUGGAUACCAAGAGCUAGUGAUUGAUGAAGCUCUUGGCCAUUUGAUUAAUUUUUGCAAGAGUAAAAUUUUGGUUGGAUUUGUUUGACGUUUUGGACUACCUUUGCUUAAUAUUGAUUAGAAUUGAACUUGUUGAGACCUAGGGCUAAUGAUUGAUGAACCCCUAGCGAAACUGAUGUUUGAAUUGUGAUUUUCGGUUAUAUUGGUUUGGUCUGGACAUGCAUGAAAAAUUUGAACAUAAACGGAAGAGAUUACUCGAGAAAAUUUGGCCAAGAGAAGGGGAUUGAGCAUCCGAUCAGUUUUCCUUCGAAUUAUAGCUGAAACUUUCAUGCUGGAUGCUUAAGACUAUUUUGUGGCUUGCUAGUCACUUUUUACUUGUUGAAUUGAAGUAAAAACUGAAGAAAAAUUAUGGACAAAGCAUUAUAAGUUAACCGUUUUAUUGCUGGAAAUAGUAUACGGUCGCUGGCCGAAUUAGUUAAGGUUUUUCGUGAGAUCAUUUUCUGGAAUGGUGUAACAGUUAUGUUGGUUGAGGUUGGGCAGAUUAUAAGCUAUAAAGACUAAGCAUAACACAAUAAUGCUAAAAAUUCAAGUGUCGGUACUUUUAAAACCUGGCUAACCAGCUAGUUCUUUCUUUCGCUUAAACUAGCUUUAUUACCUUUAAAAAAUGAUUGCACUAGUUUUUAAAACCCUAGGUUUUAUUCUAUUUCCUUUUCUUUCUUUAAAAAUUGUCCUGGCUAGCUAUUCUAGAGGAAAACUUUUUCGGCAAGCAAACUUAUUCAAGUAAAGUAGCUCUAGUUACAUCUUUAGAAAGAAAAGUAAUUUAAGGAAACUAUACGGAAUAUUUUGCUACUUUUACUAGUUUUAAUCUUAAGUGGAUUGUCGAAUUAUUUCGAGAAAAUAAACUAUUUAUAUACUAGAGAAUAUUUUAUAUUUAUAAACCUAGAACUUGAAUAGAAAACUUAUAGUUCUUAAAACUUGGUUUUCUAGGAUUUAGCGAGGACGCGGAUUUUGAUUCCCAACUUGAUUUGUGACUUCACUCUUGGUGAGUGUCCCUGCUUGUUCUAUGCUUACUUGAUUAAAGCGCUUUCUUGACUUGAUAUGUGAUAUUUGGAAAAAAAAUGGUUUCUGAUCCAUCGAAAUGAGCAGUGUGUACUUUAUCACACUAGCCGUUCGAGUGGUGACUUGCUUGAAAUGUUUUCAUGAAUACUUGCUUGCACUUGUUAAUCACUAGGCAGGGGAGUGUACUACACCUUAAGGGUGGAAAGGACUCUUACCCUGACCUGGUAAUCUCUUGUUGGACGUAACGUCGUUGGAUGAAUUCCUCGACUAGUCCCUAAUCUCUUGUUGGACGUAACGUCGUUGGAUGAAUUCAUCGACCAGUCCCUAAGGUAUACUCGAGUAUUACCACUCUCUUGUUUGGCGUUCGGGCCCGGUACAGGGGUAUGAUAAGUUGGUCGGAGAUAAGAAAAAUAAAAAGAUCUACAUGGACUUUAGGUAGUGAAAGUUGACGGAGGGUCAGCUACGACAAAUUUUGAUCAAGCGAGGAGAAUGGCUCCUGAGAGUCCUGUAUCCUACCUUGUGUUGUUAUACGCUUUCCUAAUUGUUUAAUCUUGUUGAAAUUAUUACUCGCUGUUUGAUUUACGGGAUUGCAUGUUCUAGGGCACCACUGAACUUUAGCUCACCCCACGUUAUUUGUUUUCCUUGACAGGUCCUGGUAUUUGAGAAAGACUUGAAAUCUCCUUUACUUGUUAUGAAUGUAAUUCGAAUUAAACAAUGUAGUUUUGUUUUGGGUUGCCACUUGAAGCUGGAAAAGUGUAAACCCUGAAUUUGUUAUUUGGACUGUAUAUUUGUUUCAUGGAUUGUAAUCCGUAAUGUAUUAUAAGAAUCGAUUGGCUAUCUUAAAAAUGCUGUUAUCUCUGAAGUUAAUGUGGUUUUAGUCUUCAGCCUAUUUGGAAGGAAACGGUGUUGUAAUAGUUUAGGUUAUUCUUCGGAAGGAGUUGGAUAGUUUGCUUGUGUGAGUCCUGGCGAGAGUUAGGCAGACAGCCCGCCAACCCUCUGGUUCGCCUUAGGGGGAAGUGGGGUCGCCACAGUAUAGGUAAGGCUUAAUGCCCCAAUUCCUUGGCCUCAUUAGCUAAAUAUUUAUUGAUGAAAAAAAGUUGAUUGUCAGAUCUUUUCUAUUUAAUAAAAUGUGAAUAUAUAGUUCUACGUUUAUGGUCAUUAUAAAAUUUUAAAUUAUCUAAAAUAAUAUUUAUAAAAAAACAUCUACCAAGUUUUUGAUAUGGAAUACAUUAUUUGAUGUAUACUAUCAUAUUAUGGCGAAAGUAUGUAAACAAAUUUUUAAAAAUUAGUAAAUAAUUGAAGAAUACAUUAAUUUUUUAAAGUUAAUAUGAAUGAAUAUAUAGGAUUCUUAAUUUUUGUAUUCAAAUUAUUCAAAUUUGUAUAAAUUUACAAUAAAUAAAAAAAGAUUGUGCUAAGGCACGAGCAAAGUUCUAGUAUAUAUAUAUAUAUAUAUAUAUAUAUAUAUAUAUAUAUAUGUGUGUUUGUGUGUGUGUGUGUGUGUGUGUGUGUGUGUAUAUAUAUAUAUAUGAAGGUAGCUAUUUUAAUUAAAGUUGUUUCUCACUCUUACAUGGCAUGCCUAAUUGAAGAGAAUUAACGAAUUAUAGGUCACUUGGAUUUUAUCCAUAUUAAAUCCUAUUUGGAUUAUAUUAUAUGUUCAAAAAUUGUCUCUAAUUUUAAAUAACUUUAAAAAAUAACUAAUCCUAUCUCAAUGAUAUUACUUUAAAAAACAACUAAUUUUAUCUGAAUGAUUCUGCUUUUUAUCAAAUUAUUACAUAUAGAAAUAUAGUAAAACCUUUUUCAAAUCACAAUUAUUGAAAUUUUACAUAUCCCAAAUUACUUCUUUUCACCACCAUACCAUUAAUUAGUAUUCAAAUUGUUCAUCAUUUUUUCCUUAAUUUUGAAUUAAUUUAGUGUACAAAAGAGAAUUAACUGUUGCACUGACAGAUUUACUAAUAUGACUAUAAAAACUGUUAGAAGCUAAAUAUUUAUUGUUAGAAACUAAAUAUGACCGACAAAUUUUCUAACAAUAAAUUGUUAGAAACUAAAUAUUUAUUGAUGAAGAAAAUGAAUUGCUAGAUUUUUUCUCCUUAAUUAAAGAUGACCACAUAGUACUAGAUUUAUGGUCAUUAUAAAAUUUAAAUUAUUUGAAAGAAUAUUCAUAAAAAAAGAAUAUCUAUCAAGUUUUUGAUAUGGGGCACAUUAUUUGAUGUAUACUGUCAUAUUAUAGUAAAAGUAUGUAAAUAAAUUUUUAAAAAUUAGUAAAUAAUGAACAUUUAGAAUACAUUAAUUUUUUAAAUAUAUUUAAAUUAAUACAUUUAAAUUAGAAUACAUUAACAUAGAUGAGCAUGUUGGAUUAUUGUUAAUUUUUGUAUUUAAAUUAUUUAUAUUUGUAUAAAUUCACAAUAAAUAAAAAAAGAACGUGUGAGGACCCGAAAAUUAUUUUUAUUUUAUCUUAUUUCUUUGAGUACGUUUUCUUACUUUACUUUAUUUCCUUAAUUUCUCAUAUAUUUUAUAAAAGAGUCAAGAUUUUAAUCAUUUUUCUACUAUAAGUCAGUGCAUGAUAAGUUCGUGGUGCAUUAUGGACGUAGGACCCACUAGUGUGGUAUGUGCAAUAAAUUUUUUAAGAUUAGGCGGAGUUUUGUACAAAGGGAUAAUAUUUUAUAAGGUGUUAAGGGAUAAUUAGAGGUUGGCAAGACAUUUUAGUGAUAGGAAGACAAAAGGAUGAUGAUUAACCGUUGGAGGACAUUUGCCGCACAAGCUUUGGACCUUUGACUUUGACUACAACCUUUUUUAGCCUUUACUAAAACAAAAUUUGACAAAAAACACUUCAAUUUCUUACCCUUCUUGGCCGAAACUUUGAGAGGAGAAAAGGGAAGAGAAACUUCAUCUUCAACCUCUAAUUCUUGCUUGAAUCUUGAGUUGUCAUCUAAAUCUUGCAAAUUACUCCAUAAAAAGUGACCUUUAGGGAGGAUUAAGAGCUUUGGUAGAAAGAUUUGGGAGAAAGAAGCACUUGGUUUCCACUUCUUCCUAGGGUUUCAAGGUAACCACAUCAAGGAACCAUCUUCUCUUUUAAUACUUGCAUAUGAGUAGAUUUAAGGUUUGAUUUUGGUAGUUUUCAUGAGAAAUUUCAUGGUUUGAGUGGUGAUUCAAAAAUUUCAGCUUUGAUGGUGAAAUUUCAGCUUUAAUAUGAUGGUUUGAGUUUGGCUAUGAUCUAGUAGCUUUGCCAUGUGAAUCUUCUAGCAUUUAUAUGUUAUUUUGGCUUGCCUAUGAAAAAUUUCAGCUUGUAGUUCAAAAUUUCAGCUUAGGGUUUCAAAAUUUCAGCUUUGGUUUUUGAGCUAGAAAAUUGUUAUAUUGGAUGAUUUUGUAGUCUUAAACAAGUGUACUUUAUAGCUUGUAAAUUGUCGUUGUGAUUGAGGUUGGAUUGAUAUGAAUAUUGGUGUUGAGUUUGGAUGAAAAAGUAAAGAAAAUAAGGGGAAGUGCUGAUGAAAUUUUUACUACUUCCUUUCUUGUGAAAUAAGUGAUAUAAGAGAGAUGAUUCUGGGUUGGUUAGACUUAGGUUACACGUGAUUGCUUGAGUUCAUUUUGAUGGUGGUGUAUAAGGUGAAAUUUUGACAAAACCAUGUGUAAAGCAAGAGGAAAAGUAAUGGUUCUUCUAUCAUGCUCUUUAGUUUCGUUUGCCCAAUUUUAAACUCAAGGUUGGUUGUUUUUCUUCCAAAAGUUGUGUGUAUAUCUUAAGUAUAUUUUGCUAAAUUUCAUGACUUAUAAAUAUCUAAAUUUUCCUCUUUUGGUCUCUUUCAUAUUUUGAGUCUAAGUGUUCACUUUUCACACCAAUAACUUACUUGAAUCAUUGCCCUAGUAUGUACUUGGAUUCUCCUUGAAUUGCACUUUCAAAUUUAUCUUUGAACCCUUGUGUUAUAAGAGGCCAACUUGGAUAGGUGUAUGGCCCAUAGUUGAAUCUAAAAUGUGAACUUCGUUCACCUAAGUUUUGGAUAGUUAGACCAUAAAUAUCUUUUACCUUAGUUGCUCUUAAGGUUUGGUAGUAUUCGAGAGCCACUCGGAGACGAAUGUUAUCGUUGCACUGCUUUGAACUGGUGAGUGUUUCAACUGUAUGUUCCAUGCUACUUGUGAUUCAAAAAUGACUUGUUGCUUGAAUUGGCUUAUUACCACUUAGGCGAGUGUGUACUUUAUCGUACUCUACCUAACUUAACUGAAUUCUUGAUAUCUUAUUUACAAGUGAAUUGAUGUGAGUGCCAAGUGCAUGUUUCUGGUAUCUUGAUUUGAAUGAUACCACGUGUUAUGUGUUGAACAUUGAACUUGAUGAAGCGAGGGUAUACUUUAUCACACUCGUCCUCCCCUUCUUGAAUGAUCCUGUACUUGCUUGAAUUUGAUUGACCUGUACUUGUGUUUGCGCUUGUGCUUGACUUGUAAGUGUUGAGCGGCAGCAUGUACCACACUCAAUUCGAGUGAGAGUUGCCUCUCAUUUCCGUCUCAGUACUUCUAUCUUGAUUAAAUCGAUUGAAGAGUUAUCUCGUCGACCAUACUUGUUCUUACUUGGGUAUACUCGAGUAUUACUACCUCUGUUACCAUCUCUGUUAUCUUGUUGUUCGAGCCCGAUAGGGGGUUGAUCGGUGGACAGAGAUUGGAGAUAAGCGGUAUUCUACUAGACUUGUUACUAUAUUUCAAAUGUCAACGGACUUGGAAGAUGUUACUGUGAAAUUGGCUGCAAGUGGAACACUGUAUAGGACUAAGUGCUACGCUUGAAAUCUAGCGGGUGCACAUCAGCUGUAUCAAUGUUUGAAUCCUGGGUGGGCGCUCUGCCCAGAACCUGGUGGAAGCCACCGUAUCGGUAACAUAUCCUUCCUUGCUGGUGCAAAAUUGCUUAUUUGAAUGUUUGAGCUGUUAAUGACUCUGUUUGUAACUGUUUACUAUUUUCGUUCUAAGAUUUUGAGAUAUAUGAAAGAUAUUUUGCCAAUUUGACUGCAUGUUUUCUUGGAAUCUCGCUGAACUUCUAGCUCAUCUCUUUAUUUGUUUUCCUUAACAGGGUACGGGAUGAGAGAGACAAGAAUAGUACUAAUUGUAUUAGGAAUUUUAAACUUGUAUUUGGCCGAUACUGUAUUAUAGUACUAGUUAUUCAAGUUCUUAGCUUUCGGCUUGUACUUUGGUUUGUAUAUUCGGAUGAUUUGUAGCGUGUUCGUGUUAUUUUGAAGAAUUAUAGUGCUAUUGAUUUGGCAUCCAAAGAAUAGUGAGCUCAAAAGUUGUAGCCCUCAUUUUAAGUAAUUGCCAUCUUAUUUAUAUUUGGUGAGGUGAUUGAGUUAUUUGUAUUUUGAUCUGUUUCAUUGUACACCUAAGUAUGAAUGUUUUGUGAAGUUGGAUGGUUGUAAUAUUUCUCGAAGAAUUUUGUCCUUACUUUGCAAUUAAUGAUAUCUCUGAAGUUAAUGUGAGUGAGUGAGUCCUGACGAGAGUUGGGCAGGCGGUCCGCUGACCCUUGGGGUACGUUCUAACGGAAGGUGGGGCUGUCACAGAACGUGCUAAGGCACGGGCAAAAUUCUAGUUGAAUUGCUUGGAUAGAGAUUAUUUGCCAAACUUUUUUUGCUCACUGCUAUGUGGCAUACCUAACUGAGGAGAAUUAAUGAGUUAUGGAUCAUUUGGAUUUUACCCAUAUUGAAUAUUAUAUUAUAUGUUUAAAAAUUAUCCCUAAUUUUAAAAUAAUUUUAAAAAUAACUAAUCUUAUCUUAUUAAUAUCCAAAAUAACUUUAAAAAAUAACUAAUCUUAUCUUAAUGAUAUCUGCAUUCUAUCAAAUUAUCACAUAGAACUAUAAUAAAACCAUUUUUAAAUCACAAUUAUUAAAAUCUUACAUAUUUCAUAAAUUGCUUUCAUUCUUUUUUUUUACGCCACCCCUUGUGUUUUAUUGACCACCCAAAAUGGAAAGAAAGGUACAAUGGGUUUAGCAUGUGCGCGGAAAUAAAUAAGUACUUGCUCGUUUACAUAUAUGUGGAUGGGUCUUGAUGCAAAUAAGAAAAAAAUACAGUAGGUACCGUCCUAUUUUGUAGUGCGAAUGUAGGGGAAGCUCGAUUUAUCUAGAGAGAGAGGAGGCCACGAAUGUCAAAGGGGCAGCCGGGAGCAUGAUAAGUGGAUGAAGAGCGCGACGUACUCGCCUGUUUUGUGAGAGAGUCCGCAGCAGCAUUCAACUCUCUAUAGCAGUGUUGAAGGAUGAAGGAUCUGGCAUUCAGCAAAGCCUUGAUUUGGGAGACCACGGAGAAGAUGCGCCACAUGCAUUCAGCCACUCCAGUCGCGACGUUUAGUAGGGUUGAAGAAUUGAGUUUCACUAUAGCCUGAGUAAGUCCUUGAUCCAAACAGAGAUGUAAACCUUCGAGGAGCACCAUCGCUUCUGUAUUCAUGUUGGUUUGCCAGCCAUAAUAGGAUGAGAAUCCGUGAAGGAAGUCCCCAGAAGCGUUCCUAAUUAGUCCCCCUCCCCCGAGUCACCUGGGUUUCCAAUUGAAGACUUGUCCACAUUAAGUUUCACGUAAGGAGAGGGAAAAGAAAUGUACCUGAGAAUCAUGGUGCACGGUUUGUAUGGGUGCUGCAGAAAUGGCACAAGAUGUAGCCCCAGUACUCUUGUAUCCUCUGCCAUAGUACAUAUAAAUGUCGUGACUCGGGCGAUUAGUUGAAGUCAGUGAUAAUUUGUUUAACUAGCAUUGGUGCGGUAACCACAGUCCCCUUAAAGAAAGCUUUAUUCAGGGCUUUCUAGAGCUCCCAAAAAAUCAGCGUGGCAACAAUCGAGCUAUUUCUGCUAGCAGGCUAUUGCCCCCAUAGCGGACCCACCAACCCUGCAAUUUCAGGACAACGUCAUCCGCCAGGGAAGGAUUUAAAUGGAAAUUCAUUUCAAAGCUCCUCCACACUGACAAUGCUUUUUCACAAGUCAAGGAGACAUGUUCCAAGGAUUCCUCAUUCGGACACACGAGACAUUUCGAAGGUAGAUGAAAGCUGAACCUUCUCAAAAUGUCUGGAAAUGGGAGCAGAGAGUUCAAUAGCCUCCACAUGAAAAUGGAAACUCGUAGUGGAAUACGCUUAUCCCAGAUCAUCCUUCGGAAAAAUGUGACAGAGCCCCGGGAGGACAGCUUCUGGAUUGUUAAGAAGAUGCUCAAAUCUCCGUUAGGUGAGGGACACCAAGCUAGCAAAUCCUCCCCCUGGGAGAGAGUCAGUCGGGAUGAUAGUACACCAUGCAGCUCGUUGGCCAACGGGACAUUUUUGGCUUCCCCUAAUCUCCAAGACCCAUCAACCAAACCAUCCGUAAUUCGCAUAGUCAGCUGGGGAAUAUCGGUCUUUUCAUCAGCGAGGGGGCCCGUUCCCAACCAAUUUUUGAACCAGAAAGAGCUGCUCCCAUCCUUGAUCAAUCUUUGUGAGCUCUCUUCGAUAAAAUCCCAAAUUCGGAGCAUGUGCUUCCAUGUUUUUGAGCCUCACGAAGUCAUUUCCACCUAGGAGAUAUGAUGAGCAUAAUGCCCAUAUUUUGCAAUCAUGAAUCCAGCCCAAAGCGUGCAGGUGGUUUGAAGAUGCCACCAAAGCCUGCCUCCAAAUUCUCUCAUCACAUCUUCUAGACUCAUAAACCCUAAGCCAUCCUCCUUCACUAACUUACAUAGCUUCUUCCAUUCCCUCCAAUGUUUCUUGUCUUUUCCCUCUAACUCUCCCCAAAAAAAGGUGGCGAAUAUGCUCUCCAUGUGGCGCAGGACACUUUUUGGGGAACUCCAAAGUGGCCAUCAUGUAUUUAGGAAUAGCCAAGAGAACAUGCUUGAUCAGAAUCAUAAGACCUCCGGCCGAUAAAACUUUAUUCCUCCAGCCUACAAGCUUUGACCUUAUCUUAUCUAUUAGAUGCUUGAAAUGCGUCUUGUGCAACCAUUCUUUGGAGGUUGUGCAGCCAAGGUAUUGAAAAGCCAGUUGACAAGAUCUCAUUCCCAACCAGUGGGAAAGCAGCCCUAACCUAGUAGUAGAGCAUCUCGAAGAUAUUACGAAAAAAGUCUUGGCUUUAUUAACUCUUUACCAUGAGGCCGUUUGGUAUAGGUCUAGAAAUUCUAGCAUGGUUUUGAUAUCCGCCCAUUGUCCCCUCAUAAAAAUGAGCACAUCGGCUUCGUAACUUAGGUGUGUGAUUGGGAAGCAGCCCCGUGGUAAACUAAAUGGCAAAAGCUUGGCUAAUGAUAGUAGGCCCUUUAGCCCUGUGGCUCAAAGCCUCUGCAACCAGUAAAAAUAAGGAGGAGGAGAAAGGGUCCCCUUGCUUAAUCCCCCAUGCACUUUGGAAGAAACCAAGCUGUUUACCAUUUAUCAGUACUGAGAACAAUGCUCCUCUAAUGUUGUUCAUUACCAAGGACGUAAACCAAAGGCUAAAGCCAAAUUUGCAUAGCAACAUGGAAGGCUUUCAUUAUGUCUACUUUUAGAACCAUGUUGUGUCCCCGUACUUUUUUGUCAAUCGAUCCCAACAUCUCCAGGGUCAGGAGAAUGUUAUCAGAUAUUUCCUGCCCUUGCACGAAAGCAGAUUGUUCAGGGGAGAUUAGUUCCAGCAUAAGCGGUUUCAUUCUAGUGCUUAGGACCUUGGUGAAGAUUUUGUUGAAGAAGGUACAAAGGCUUAUUGGUCUAAAGUCCGUGAAGGUUGACGGUUGCUCAUUUUUUGGGAGUAACACAAUUGAGGUGUUGGCAACACCUUUUGGGAUGGGGAUGUCACAAAAGAAGUCCCUAACCGCCUGCAGCAAGUCCCUAGAUAUUAUUUCCCAGUAGGUAGUGUAAAAUAAACCCAUGAAUCUACCGACUCCCGCUGCACUAAUGCUAUCUAAAGCAAAAAUGGCUUGCUUAUUCAACCAACAUCACCUCCUGUGUGAGUUCUGCGUUUUGUUGUUGUAUGACCCGUGGAGGGAUUAUAGCCAAUAGCUCCUCCAUCACCACCUCAGCAUUGGAUCCUUGAUGGACAGAGAGCAAAUCUUUGAAGUAUUCAACUGCCUCUUGACCGAUUGCUGCUUCCUCCUUGAGUAGAUAUCCAUGUGAAUCUUUGAUCCAGCGAAUUGUGAGACGGGCGUACUUGUCCAGCAAGGCAGUAUGGAAAAACCGAGUGUUCGACUCUCCCUCCUUCAACCAUCGUACCCAAGCUUUUUGUUUCCAAAACGUCUCUUGCCCGCUAAACAUUUCAAUAGUUUAGUUUGCGCAUGACUCCAUCGGGACUGGGCUUCAUCCGUUCCCUCCUCUUCCAUUCGGAUCUCACUUAAUCUAACUUCUUCUUCUAUCGCUGCUACAUUCGGAUCUCACUAAAUCCACUUCUUCUUCGGAUCUCACUACCAUAUUGUUGAUUAGUAUUUGAAUUAUUCAUCAUCUCUUCCCUUAAUUUUGAAAUAACUUAAUGUAAAAAAUAGAAUAAACUAUUACACCGACAUAUUUACCAAUAUUGUUGGAAACUAAAUAGUUAUAGAUGACAAAAAGUAGAUUGCCAGACCUUUUCUACUUAAUUAAAUGUGAAUAUAUAGUUCUAAGUUUAUGGUCAUUAUAAAAAUUUAAAUUAUCCAAAAUAAUAUUUAUAAAAAAAUAUCUAUCCAAGUUUUUGAUAUGAAAUACAUUAUUUGAUGUAUACUAUCAUAUUAUAGUAAAAGUAUGUAAACAAAUUUUUAAAAAUUAGUAAAUAAUUGAACAUCUAGAAUACAUUAAUUUUUUAAAGUUAAUAUGAAUGAACAUGUAGCAUUGUUAAUUUUUCAUAUUUAAAAUUUUCAUAUUUGUAUAAAUUCCUAAUAAAUAAAAAAAACCAUGCUAAAGCAUGGGCAAACUUUAGUAUAUAUAUGAAAGUAACUAUUUUAAUUAGAGUUGUUUCUUACUCCUACGUGACAUACCUAAUUAUAGAGAAUUAAUGGGUUAUAGAUCACUUGGGUUUUACCCAUAUUGAAUUCUAUUUGGAUUACAUUAUAAGUUUAAAAACUAUCUCUAAUUUUAAAAUAACUUUAAAAAAUAACUAGUCUUAUCUCAAUGAUAUUGCUUUAAAAAACAACUAAACUUAUUUUAAUGAUUCUUUUUUUUGAUCAAACUGUUACAUAUAGAACUAUAGUAAAACCUUUUUUAAAGCACAGUUAUUGAAAUUUUACAUAUCCCAAAUUACUUCUUUUCACCACUAUACUAUUGAUUAGUAUUCAAAUUGUUCAUUAUUUUUGCCUUAAUUUUCAAUUAACUUAGUGAAAAAAAAGAGAAUUAACUGUUACACCGACAGAUUUACCAAUAUUAUUAGAAACUAAAUAUUUAUUGAUAAAAAAAGUAAUUGCUGGAUUUUUUCUAAUUAAUUAAAUAUAAAAUACAGUUCUAGAUUUGUGGUCAUUAUAAAAAUUUAAAUUAUUUGAAGGAAUAUUCAUAAAAAAAGAAUAUCUACCAAGUUUUUUAUAUGGGGCACACUGCUAUUUGAUGUAUAUUGUCAUAUUAUAGUGAAAGUAUGUAAACAAGUUUUUAAAAAUUAAUAAAUAAUUGAACAUUUAGAAUACAUGAAUUUUUAAAAUAUAUUUAAAUUAGAAUACAUUAAUAUAGAUGAACAUGUAGUAUUAUUGUUAAUUUUUGCAUUUAAAUUAUUUAUAUUUGUUUAAAUUCACAAUAAAUAAAAAAGGACCGUGCCAAGGCAUAGGCAAGCAUCUAGUUGAAUAUUGUAUUAUAUGUUUAAAAUUAUCUCUAAUUUUAAAAUAAUUUUAAAAAAUAACUAAUCUUAUGUUAAUGAUAUCUAAAAUAAUUUUGAAAAUAACUAAUCUUGUCUUAAUGAUAUCUACAUUCUAGCAAAUUAUUACAUACAAUUAUAGCAAAACCUUUUUCGAAUCACAAUUACUAAAAUCUUACAUAUUUCAUAAAUUACUUCCUUUUCCCUUAAUUUUGAAUUAAUUUAGUGCAAAGUAGAGAAUUAACUGUUACACUGAUAGAGCUAUCAGUAUUGUUAGAAACUAAAUAUUUAUUGAUGCAAAAAGUAGAUUGCUGGAUCUUUUCUACUUAAUUAAAUGUGAAUAUGUAGUUCUAGGUUUAUGGUCAUUAUAAAAAUUUAAAUUAUCUAAAAGAAUAUUAUAAAAAAGAAUAACUACCAAGUUUUUGAUAUGGGAUACAUUAUUUGAUGUAUACUAUCAUAUUAUAGUAAAAGUGUGAGAACCCGUAAUUUUCCAUUUUCUCGGUUUUAGAAUCUUUCAUGGCUUGUUUUCUGCAUUUUCGUGCUUAUGAAAAUUUCUAGAUAAUUUUAAGGAGCAGACAUAAUUUUUAGAUGAUUUUUCUAGUAUCGAAUAGGUUUUGAGAAAUUAAGAGCGUAUACCGGACGUAGGACCCACUAGUGCGAAAAGUUCGGAAAAAUUCGGCCAACUAGGUUAAGUUUUGGAUACUGGAAUUAAUUUACCGGGUGUUAAGAGAUAAUUAGAGGAGGCUAAGUGGAUUGGUAUAAGAGAGACAAGUUAGGUAAGUAUUUAAUAAAAGGUGACAAGUGUCACCAUUUGAGUGGUUUACCUUUAAGACCACUAUUCACGGUCUUACCAUUUGAUUUAAAUAAACCAAAAAUCAUCAAAAAUCCUCCAUAAGUGGCCGACCCUCUCUUUCUCUCUCUCUUACUCUAAGCACAAGGAAGAAAACUCUUCAAGCUUGCUCCAAAUCAUCAAAACCAACCAUUGAAACUUGCAAUUUCUCCAUAAAACCUCUUCAAUUAGUUUUUGUGAGUUGUUGUGUGAAGUUAUUUGGAAAGUUAAGGUGACCAAUUGCUCUCUCUCUCUUGUUUUUAAGGUGAGUUGUGAAGAACCACCCUCCUCCCUUAAUUGAUGCUUAAAUCAUGCUUAGUGGUAGUAUGAGAUGCAAGUUUAUGGAUUAUUUCUUGAUUUGUGGUUGAAGUGAUGAAGUUUUAUUAUUUUUGGAGAUUUUUCUGUUUUAAUAUAAGCAUGAUUGUGUGGCUAUCUAUGAUGAUUAGAAAUGGUAUAUAAUGACUCGAGGAGGUGGAAAAAAUGAUUAAUUGCAACCAAUUUCUGGUUUGGAAGAAAUUUCAGAAAAUUAGGGUUCUAGUGGGAGCAUUCUGCCCGAAUUUUUAGCUCCUAGUUAGAGGCCAAAUUGGCCUUAGCUUAAAACAUGAAAGUUGUAUGGAAUGACAUUUUAGAGGUGCCUACAAAAUUUCAGGUCAAUCGGACUAGUGUAGAAUGAGAAAAGUCGAAAUUACUAUUGCUGUUCUGGUUUUACCCGAAUGUAAGAAUUGCGCCUGUAAUUGGUUGUUUUGGCUAGAAUUGCUUCCGAAUUGGUUGUUGAGUCCUUCUGAUGAAAUGUAACCCUGUUUCUUAGCUUUCAUAUGGUUUUGGAAUUUCUGGAUUUGGACUUGGAGAGCCUGAGUUAUGAUGUUUCCGCUAGAAUACGUUUUGUGAAUCUGUUUUUACGGUUUUGAUGUAGUAUCUUGCAUUUUUUACCUGUUUGCACUCAAAACUGGGUUGAGUGACCUUCUGUGAUGUUGUAGCCCUGUAUUUUAGCUUCGAAUUGGUGUAUCGUACACCUUCAUCCGAUAAUCGUAGUGAAAUUGGUGCCAUUACCGUAAAAUGAGGUCAAAAACUGUUUUUUUCCGGGCCAAAGCUAGUUGCAUUUCCGAAUUUUCUGGUUUCCUCUAAUGUUUGUAUAUGCUUAUGGAACCCUAUUGGGGUCAUGUUUGGCCUUGGUUUAUGACUUGUUAUCGAGUCUCAUUGUACUUGUUUGCAUGUUUUAGGGCGUGACGGUGGUGCACAACGUUCUUUUGACGGAAGUGCAUGAAACCACAUUUGCGAGCUUGGUGAGUGUACUACUCACUUGUAUGUUAAUAUAUGGCUUUGAUACUUGAACUUGGUGCUUUGAAUGUUAAUUGCUUAAAGUGAAAGUGUACUUUAUCACUCUCACUAUGUGCUUUAUAGCAUUGUUAUCAUGUGAUUGAAAUGUUACACGAAGUGUUACUUGAAAUGAAAGUACAUGGCUUGGUGUCGUUUGGACGAGUAUCCAACGACUACAAUUGUUAUCAAUGAGCUCAACUCCAUUGGUAGUUGAUUGAAUCGAGCCGGCGAGGGCUUGGUCGUGCCAAUUGAUAUGCCUUGGGGAAGUGUUAUAUGGAAUCUUGUAGUAUGCGAGACUCUCGAUUCCGGUUUACUCGAGUAAAACCAAAGUGCAAGUGUUUGGAUUUCGGGCCCGGUAGGGAUAUGUUAGGUGGAAGGAGUGGAAGUAAAGUGGAGUCUACGGUUGGUACUUUUGAACAUUGACGGAGAGUCAAUGACGUCUGAUCAAGAAAUGCAAACGAGGAAAGGGCUCUUGAGAGCCAUCUGUAUCCUUUUAUCACUAUAUUUGACGUGUGCCUUUGCUUAUUUUUACUAUAUUGAAUGAAAGCUUGAUGCUUAUAUGCACUUGGGUGCAUAAGUGAUAGUAUCUCACUGGGCAAUUAGCUCACACCGUUCCUUUUAUUUUCCUUACAGGAAUAUGACUCUUUUUGGAUUGAAUCUUGAUAGAUGGUUGCCGAAUGAACUAGAUGCAUAUCUCUUUUGUAUUGUAUAUGAAGUGAAACCCUAAAUGUAUCUUUAGGGCCGUUUUCACUUUCAAUUUGGCAAACCGUGUAUAUAUUAACUUUUGAGAACUUUUGUAUGUCACUUUGGAUUGUAAUUGCUAAAGUUCAAGAUGUGAAUGUUUGUUUGAUAUUUGGUUGCGUUCUGACGGGUCGGUUACUAUUCAUGGCCGACUUCGAAUUUCAUUUUUUUUUAUUUUGGGUUAUUUUGCCCUUUUGCUUUGUUUACGCGCGUUAUAAGUUCCGGAACGAAAAAGAUCGCUCUAAACUGCACCGUUAGUUCUGGCGAGAGUUGGGCAGGCAGUCCGCUAACCCCUUUGGUUCGCCUUAGGGGAAGGUGGGGCUGUCACAAAAAGUAUGUAAACAAAUUUUUAAAAAUUAGUAAAUAAUUGAACAUUUUGAAUACAUUAAUUUUUUAAAGUUAAUAUGAAUGAACAUGCAGGAUUGUUGUUAAUUUUUGUAUUUAAAUUGUAUAAAUUCACAAUAAAUAAAAAAGACUGUGAUAAGACACGGGCAAAAUUCUAGUUGGAUUUGAAAAUUGUAGCAAUAGAGUGAUUUGAUACUUCCAAUUUGUUCAUUUGCUUGCACUAUCAACACGCUUUCUAACAACUUUUUUUAUUUUACAUAUAUCAUAUCAAAAAAGUAUUACAUUAUUUUUUUACAAAAUUAUCCCAAAUAAUCUACUAUCCAAAUAGAAAGGAAUAAGGAGAGGAAGAAACGACCUCUAAUCCACAUUAAUGCAUUAAAACAAUAGAUAGACAAUUCCAUAAUUUGAAAUAAUGCCGAUUGGGGAUUAGAAUCUAAACUUUAUGUCCCUCCUAAUGGCCAUUGGACUAAUAUCUUAUGAUUGUACAAUUCAUUAUUUAGCAUAUAUAAUAUGUCAUCUGGUAUUAUGGGCCUGUUUGGCAAAUGAGUUUUUACCCAAGUUUAUCUCCUACUAAUUUUUUAACAAUUUUAGUUUUAGUAAUCUCAAAAAACUCCUUAAAAUUUUUAAACUACACACUUCAAAAUAUCCGAAAACACACAAAAAUUUUCUCUUCUUCCUUUCUCCUUUUUUCUCCCCCACUUCAACCUACCAGGCCACCACUACCUCUGUCAUCGGCCACUAGGCGGAGAAGGGGGAGGGUGGCAGGGGAGAGGGGAGAGGAAGGUAAAGGAGGAGAGGGAGGGGGAGAAGAGAUGUGAGAACCCGAAUUUUUCUCACUUAUAAUUCUAUAUUAAUGGCUUAAUUAAUUAUUUAUUCACCCUUUUUCUCUGAAUAAUUUAUUUUAACCAUUUUAAAUCUAUUUAUAUGGAAUAAUGUCCCAAUUAUAUUUUUAAACCAUCUCGUUAAGAAAUUUAAUUUUCUAGGGUUCGUUUAGUGAAAAAUAGCGAGUAUACGUUUUUCGAGACUACAUUCAAUCUGAGAGUGUAAUAAUCUUGGAGAAUUGAGGACUCAUGUUUUAUUUCUAAUAUGGUUAUUUUAUAAUUAAUUUCAUUAGUAGUAGUUAAUUAUAUAAUCGUUAUAUGAAUUUCCCGUAAAUUUCGCCUUCUUGCGCGCGAAUUGGAAUUUCGCGUAUAUCGAGUUGGAAUGGUUAAACGAAGACUUAAGAAACUUAUACUAGACUACUAAGAGUGAAUAAUUAUAGUGUUAAAGGAAGUGCAUUAGAGUUUAGUGCACAAGUGAAACAAAUCCGAGAGGAAACGGGCACGAAAUGCGCGCGUACGCGCACUAUUGAGAGUUGACUUUUGUGCCAUAUUAAUGCCACAAUUACCAAGCUUCUCCAAGAAGCUUCACCAUCAGCAAACCCUCAUCUCUCUCAUCUCUUACCUCUCAUUUUCGUCCAGUCACCAAGAAGGAACAAAGGGAAGGAAAAACUUCAUCUUCUAGCUUCCAUUUCACUCCCAAAACCUUCACAAAUCAUCAUACAACUUCCACUUCACUUGUAGAGCAACUUCAGCUGAGGGAAAGGCAUAAUCUUGCUGGUUUUUCUUGGGUCUUGGAGGUGUAAAAUUUCUCGUUUCAUCUCAAAAACUAGGAGGUAAUCAUCUAAUCUUCUAGUCUUAGUUUUAGUGGAUGGAUCUUUGAUAUGAAACUUGUAGCUUCAUGUGGGUGUUGUUAUUUGGAUGAAAAAUGUUGGAGUGGGCUCUAUGAAAUCCCACAAUGGAUAUAUGGACUGAUUUGUGGUGUUUUGAUAUUAUUAAUGUUGGUUUAGUGUUUAAAUUAGUAGAAAUGAGUGAUGUUAUGGAUGAAAGCUCAAAGGGAGUGAAGAUGGAAAACUUUCCGUUUCUGCCCCUGUGAAUGUCCAUGACCCUUAGAGCAAAAUUUUGUGGUUCUACUGACUUGUUUAUGAUGUAUACAUGUUGUGUGGGUUGUGUAGAAAGUUUCAUCAAAAAAAUUUCAUGAUUUAGUUGACCAAAUGAUGUGUUUUCGGAAGUCAGUAAAAACUGGAAAUUUUCCCAUAACUGCUUUGGCAGUGUUUUUGUUUUGGCUAUAACUUUUUGUUUCAAUAUCGAAAUUGAGUACCAUUUAUGGCACUGGAAACUAGACAUUCCCAGAUUUCCAACGGUAUAAAAUGCACAUCCUAGUUCUACCUGAGUAGUCUAUACCAAUUGUUUGAACAUGACUGUCCUGUUUCGCAUCUACACUGGGAGCUCUGUUUUGAGCAGCGAAUUUGUGCCCAAAUAUGAGCUAGCCGUGGACAGAUUUUGGAAAUGAUUUCUUCUAAGAAAUUGUAUCUUUAUGAAUCUGGUUUUCAACGCCACUAACCACGCUCAAUUCUAAUUUGAAUUGAGUGAGUUAUGGCCUGAUUUUGAAAAUGUGAUAAAGUUGGAAAUCUGGAAAAAUCCUUUCCUUCAUGCUAGCCGACAGGUUUAGCUUGAUGUGGGAGGUUUUGUUUCGAAAUUCUUCAUAUCCAUUGUUUGUCAAGUACUUAUCGAAUGUUUCUAGAACACUGGUUUCACAAAUGAAUCAAAUUGGACUGAUUUCAUGAUACAAAGUGUUUGAAAAGAAAAGAGAAGCUUGAAUUGGCAGAUUUGCUUUGAAAAUUUCACAAACUUCAGUCAUCUUGUUAACUGCCUUUCCACGUGAGUUUUUGCGUGAAAUUUGGUAGAGAUAUAGUUCAUAUAUGGAAGUUUUAGUGUUCCAAAAUUGGUGUUAUUCUAAGACUAUUUUGAUACCCAAACGAUGUCCCAAAAUUGCUCUUCAAAUCUGGAAAAUUUUUCCUUUGCUCUUGGUUGAAUGGUCAAAUCUGAUUUGAGAAGUUAUAUUUCAAAAACCUUGAUGUCAAUUAUCUCUAAAUUGCUUAUUGGAUAUUUAUGAAACCCUGGUUACAACAUUUGAAUUAAUUGAGGUUGAUGGUGUGGAUCAAAGUUUUUUAAAAAGGAAGGAAACGUGAGAAGGCAGAUUAGGCUUGGAACAUUUUUUGAACUUUAGUUGUUUUAAUGAUUGCCUUCCCGUGGGAGUUUUUGUAUGAAACUUGGUAGAAAUGUUUUUCACACAUGGAAGACUUAGUGUAUCAAGUUUGGUGUAUUUCCAAUGCCAAAUCGAUGGCCAAAUGAUACUUCAAAGAUAGCCUUUCAAACCUGGAAAAUGACAAAACAGUUUAUAAAUUGCGACCAACUUUGAACUACUAUAUUUUGACACUCAAAACUCUGAUUUCAGUUCCGUUUGUUGUGUUUUAAACCUUGAUUGGAAUUCUAAUUGAGGUACAAAUUUCGGAGGCUAGUUCAUUUCUUGUGAAUUUUUCCGAAUUUCCAAAGUUUGCCAAAAAACAUGACUAAAACUAUCUUGCCUGUUCAGAUCAGCCUCUUUGAGCUGAAAAAUGAUUCUUGUCCAAUUUGAAUCUUAGAAAAGUUCUUCUAGGAAAUUUUUGUACUUUGAAACAAGAUUCCAACGGUAUAAGAUUUUCCAUUUUUUGACCUAUUGAGUGCAAGAUAUGAUUUUUUUAAAUUUGACGCACAAAGCCAAAAUUUGCCGAUUUCUUAGAAAAUGAAAUUUUGGAUACUUGACUUUUUAUCUUGAUAUUAAUCUAUCGUUUUGAACCCGAUUUCGUAGAAGAUAUGAGUUUCCUCAGUAACUUUAAAAUCCACACUUUUGAAUCUUAACUUUCGAUAAAAUAAAACCCUUAUGAAGACAUUGACUUGAAUUCUAAAGCAAGUAUGCAUUAUUUCUUGUUUGAUAAGGAAUUUGUGAAAUUGUGAGGGUGAUAUUUGGUCACUUUUCUUCAGGCGAUCAAGAAGGUCUCGAAGAGAAUCCCGAAAUGGAUUAUUGACGACUUUCUUUACUCACUUAUUUUGGUUGGUGAGUGUUCCAUAUAGGAAUACGUGAUUCGAAUAAUUUUAUGACAUGUUUACUCCAUGGUCAUUAUGUAUUUAAUUGUUAAAUGCUACCGAUAAUUGUUUCUAUGGACUUUUCCACCAUUUUGAGUCGAGUGUGUAUCUUACCGCACUCGUUUUCACUUAGUAAAAUGUACUUGAAUUAUUUGACAUGAAAUACUUGAAAUGCAUAUUUACGUGAAGUGUUUCAAUGAUUAAUUAUGCUAUGGCUGCAUAAGUCAAUUGGAGUGAAUCUCCUCGACUCUUAAGUAGUAAAAGUGGGAAACGGCCAAUGGACGACCUACUAAAAUGAUAAAUCUCACCGUUUACCUGAUUAUUUACUUGAUUACCUGCUUACCUGAUUACUUGACUACUUGAUUAUGUGAUUACCGUAAAUUACGUGUUCAUAUGAACUUUUCCACAGUUUUACGGCGAGUGUGUAUUUCAUCUCACUCGACCUACAAAAUUGAUAAAUUUUUACUGUUUACCGAUUUACUUGAUUACUUGUGCAUAUUGUAAGUUCUAAGUUGAAUUGGGCCCUGCCCUUGAUUACUGACUUACUCGAGUCAGGGUUGGGUUCGGUCGGGUAGGUUAGAAUCUUGGGACACCGUUUCGGUAUACUCGAGUACUACCAUUGGAGGGAUAAGGUGAUGGCCAAACAAACCGAGGAGAUUCUGAAGUUAUAAGAUACAGUUGACCGAAAUGGUUCCACUGGAACACCGUAUCCUUCAAUGUGUGUUUAUUUCACAUAAUGAUAACUGUUUCAUGCUAAUAUGCUAACGUGCCACCCUGAGCCAUACCUGUGAUAUACUCAAAUUACUUGUACAUGAUAACCGUCGCAUUUUAAUGUACUAAUGUGAAAUCUUGAACCAUACGUGUGGUAUGCUCAAAUUACUUGAUUUAUUAGACCUGCUAGAGUGUCUUGGAACCUCACUGGGCUGUGUAGCUCAUUUCACGUUUUUGUUUUCCUUAACAGGGUUUGAGACCAAGAGUGCUCGUGAAUAGUGCUAGAUUGUUUUCUUUUUGAAGAUUUUAAGUUGUAUUAUAACGGAUAGUUAUAGUACUUAUUCCGUUGGGUGUAUUUAAGCUUGAAAGCUAACUAAUUGUAAGUGUGAGAUAUUUUGGAAUACUUUAAUUAUGUAUUGAAGUUAUUUGAAAUAUUCCAAACUUUUGAAUUAUGGAUUGUACCAAGUCUUGACGAGAGUUGAGCAGACGUCCCGCCGAUACCCUUGGGUUCGCUCUUGGGAGAAGUGGGGGCGUCACAAGAGAAAGAAAGACAGAAGAAAGCAAAAAAUAAUAAUAAUUGUAGUGGCUGCCAGUGGCGGUUCCGACGUUGGCGGCCGGCAAGUGGUGAGGUGAGGGAGAAGAAAAGGAGAGGAAAGAAAAGGAAAAAGAAACAAAGAAAAAAAAGAAAAAGGAAAGAAAAAAAGUUUUACUACUUAAAAUUUUUUUCCACAACUUCUAAAGUAAAUUAAAGUAAAAUUUUAGACAAACAUCCAAAAACUCAUUUGUCAAACGAGGCUAUAUGUAACUCUCACAAUUUGUAAUUUAUUCACAUGCUUAUAUAGCACGACAAAAACAUUGGUGGAUUUAAACAAACUUUUUUUUUUUAGAAUGGUUUCUACAAAUCGUUGCACUUUUUCAAUGGAGAUCCAUACCUGAAUUCUUAUUAGGUUGGCAACGUGCUAAUGGUGAACUAUUGCCAUUUAAUAUUUUAAGGUGAAAUUAGCCCUUAUGGACUUGCUGCGUGGUAAAGAAAAAGUAUGUGUAGAUUAUUUAUACAAAUUCUUUUUUAUUAUUAAGAGGUCCCAUAUUGCAUGGAGUGCAAUAUAUUUAGUAGCAUAUUUUAGCAUUUAAAGUAUCACUUCGUGCUUUGAAAUGAUAGUCCAUCUUCUCGGCUUCUCCUUCCUUGUUUUUUGGGGAUUAACAAGUGUCGUUCACGGUUCAUCCUAUGCUAUAGAAAGUUUCACAUCAGCACCGUCAAAUGAACCAACUAGGAUCUCUAAUACUCCCUCUGUCCCACUUUGAUAGUUCUAUUUUUCUUUUUCGUUUGUCCCAAAUUGCAGUCCACUUUUCAAUUGAAAAAUGUAAUUAUAUUUUAAUUUUUCUAAAAUACCCAUAUUCAAUGUAAGUUAUUGUUACUAUAAACCUACCCCAUUUAAUGAGAAUUGAUUCUUUUUUUACCAUCAAUUCAAGUUCCCAUAAAGUUGUACUCUAAUUAAUAUGAGGGUAUUCUAAGAAAAUAGCUACCUAAAUUGAUUCCUUAUAAUAUAUAAGAUUGAGUUUUGGUCAAAGAAUAGGUUGAAUUUCAACCGCAUAGAUGGGGCUUUCUGGGAAUGUGAAAUAUUGUGUAUUAGUUUAAAAGUUUUAGGUACAAGUUAAGGAAGCAUGUAUUUGAAUAUGUUUACUGAAAUGAUCCCAUUUUAAUACAUUUAAAGUUGUCAUUGAUGAGCCAUCUGGGUAUUGAUGGAAUGUGUAAUUAGUGUGCAACCGUUUUUGCAUUUUGUACAACCCAUAUAUGCUUGUGUGUUGGUGUAAUUAUCGGAAUAUCCCUUAGCUACCAAUAAUUCCCCUUUUCAGCCGCAGAUAACCGUUUGAGAUGUUGCUUUGUCUGAAACGUUUGAAUAGCAAUCGGAUUUAGGAAAUGAGCCAACGAUUUCUCUAUCAAUGGUAGGAAUCCAUUUCUCUAUCAUUUAUAAUCUGCAUUUAUGAGCCACAAACAUUGGUCAGUUUAUCCCUUUUCAGAGUCAGGAGUUCAUUUUUGCCUUUGUCUAGACCGAUUUGCCUCAUCGUUUUCUCUUCCAUCUAAGUUCAACUCUGAAAUUACCUAUUAUUUCGUCAUUAAUUACACCCAAUUCAAUUGCUGAACCGUUGAUAUGUUAAUGCCUAAACGGUUGAUUAUCAGUUUCUCAUUGUUCGCAUUCUAGGAUUGGGAUAAUUUUACUUGGCUUCAUACUUUUCAACUCAGAAUGUUUUUUAGUCCCAACUACCCCUGGUGGUUCAGCGUGAGGUUAGAUUUCAUCCCCCCAAAUUUUUUAGUUCCUCCCUUAAUUUUAUCGGUGUGUUUUUAGUACCUACAAUUAGCGACUCUUAUCGCGUUAUCUAGCUGCAAGAUAGCAUUUUUCGCGUUGCCUAACUCCAAUUGGCCUGGGUUGGUUAUAAUCUUAUAGGUUUGGAGCAACAGCAAGAAAGAACUCUUGGUGGGAAUUCUGGAAUAAAAUUUGCUUUCUGUGUUGCUCUGCCUUUCUGCAUUAUCAACGACCUUCAAUUUGACACAAUUUUAUUGUAACGCUGUGUAAAUUGAUUGAUUAUAUCGUUUAUCUUUUCAUACUAAGUUUUAUUUCUUUUCACAAUGUACUAUUAUUUGUUCAAUAAAAAAACCUCCUUCCCCACAGGCACCAAACACCCGCGUGAUGCGCGGACACUCCCCCUAAUGUUCCAACAAAGUUAACUACUUUUUUUUUUAAACUGUAUGAAAAAAAAAAUUAGGAUUAUCAAAGUGAAAUGGAGGGAGUAUAAGUUAGAUACAUUGCACUCACAACAAGAAGGGAUCAGCACUGUCAAGGUUUUCUUUCAAGCACGGAACUUUUGUCAAAAGGGAAAAGGAACAGAAUAAGUUAGAUAUCAUCUGGAAUCCUACACGGCACGACAAAAAUAGAUGCAAAAGAUUGGGUUGCGAAACAACGACAAUACACGCAUAAUUCCAUAGUCCAAACUCCGAGACAAAGCUCCGGCGGAGAAUGAACAUUAAGCAAUCAUUAUGGGCUCUAAAAGCUAUAUGUUCCUGUACCAACCAGAUUAGGACAGGGUCAAUAUAAUGGUCAAGAAGCAAAUGAUUCGAUUCCGUAGUGUCAUAGGCUAGUCCUUCUCGCAGGAAAUAAGGAGCAAAAACUUUCUGCUUUGCAAUCACCAAACAAUUAGGCCCAUGAUUCCAUGAUCAGAAGCAGGAAGUGAUGUUAGCGACCAACUGGUAUGAAUCCCUAAUGAAGAGAAUUCAGACCUAGAAACCUUUUUCAUUCACAAGCCUGUCCUUGAGACAACUCGCAUGCAGUUUCCCUAGACAACCAGAUUGCACCCCAUUCUAAGGACAAGGAUACAACAUCAAAGAGCCAAGUUACAGACUUAUCCACUUUAGCCUGCCUGAAGCAAAAGGUUUUGGAUCUUGAAAUUCAAAAUAAUUUCCAUCACAGCAUUUUAGUGCAAAUAAGGCCCUUCAU
rnacentral:lncRNA from 1 species